rnacentral:lncRNA from 1 species
GGGCUGCUACAAUAACACACCAUCACAUUUAUCAACCAUAACAUAUAUAGAUAAACUAGUACAACGUGUGGCAGCCAAGUGAGAACCCUAGCUCGGUAGCUACAUCUUCUGCUAGCAUUACAAGAACUUUGAGCUGAUCACCCAGCACGUUGUUCUAGACCCAGCAAUGAACACCCCCACAAACCAGAAAAACACACUAAUUAAGACUACAAAUUAGACCUAAUGAAAGAUUUCAAACAGACCACUAAAACCAGAUACAAGUAGCAGACCUGGUGCAGCUAGCCAAACUAGUCUCUGAGUCAUGGGACUGAGCCACCAGUAGAAAGAACAGCAGGGAUAGUGGGGAGGACUGGGGCACAGCAGGGAGAGUGCCGGGUAGUUGAUCGAUGAGUGUCGGUGAUCUCCAUCAUAGUCACUUGCUUACACUGCGCAGGAGGGUUGCUGCUGUGCUGUGCCCUUUAUCAAACAGAUGAUAGGCAACUCUUGCACAACGCCAUCCAGCUUUUUGCAGAGGUCAACAUAUUUCACUCAGAUGGAGGAUUCCGACAUUGCGGGGGUCAAUUGACCACCUUUGCACUAACGUGGGUCUGCCCCUGGUAGCAUCACUACUGAUCUUCAACUUCUUCUUGCUGCUAACAGCAUCACCAAUUGAUCUUUUCCUAUUUGCCAUAAUUUCAUUGAACUUGGCUUUCAAGUCCCGCUGAGCUUCUUCCAACAGCGCACACAAUGAAUGAAUGACAUCGUCGUGAAUAUUGAUCUGUAUAGUAUGUAAAAUUUUACGGUGCCUGAAAAGGACAUCAAAAUCAUGAACGGUAAAUUCAAAACAGAUCAUAUGUACUUAUCCUCUGCUACAAUUGCACUAGGGGAUGCAUGUGAAGGUGGUGCACCAUGAUCCAAUCCCUCAUCCUCCAUGUUUUCUUCCUGCACGUUCGGGUCAAUGCCCAGAGAUGCAUCAGUACCAGUUGGUGCACCAUGAUCCCAUCUCUCAUCCUCCACGUUCUCAUCCUGCGGGUUAGAACGUGCGGCUAUACUAUUGAAAUAUAAUCACGCGUAUAGCCGCUAGGCUAUGCUCCGUGUUUCUUUAAAAAUUUUUAUUCAAAUUAAUCGUAUAGCCGGCCGGCCAUACUCGGUGUUUUUAAAUGUCUUUUCCAAUUAAUAGUAUAGCCGCACGGCUAUACUAUUUUUGGGUCUAUUUUUUAUAAAUAAAUAGUACACCCGCUCCCCUACUUUUAAACAUAAUAUAUUAAAAGAAUAUAGAACGGCUAUACGUGUUUUUAAAUUUUUCCUUAAAUUAAUAAUAUAGCCGCGCGGCUAUAUCGUUUAAUAUAUUAUAUUCAAAAAGUAUAGCCGCCCGGCUAUACUAGGGUCCCUAUUUUUUUAAAUUAAAAAAAAAUAAAUAAACAGUGGAAUGAUGUUUUUAAUCUUUUUUCUUUAAAUAAAAGGCCAAAUUACACUUUCUGGUUGUGUGAACUGUACUAUUCAUUGACUUUGCAUUUUCAGUCUCUGUUCUUGUAAUAUUGGAAAUAUUAGUUCUGUAGUUUUGUUCAUGUCAAAAUCUCAGGGAAGAUGGGCAAAUGUAAGAUGUUAAUUUUUAAUUUCACAUGUAACAGAAUUUCACCUCCAGCCGAUAUGUUAAACAAGUAAGUGGGUCCAAAUGUAAUGUGAGAAGUAGUUCUUCGAAUAAGGCUCAUGGUCACGGGACAAAGCGAUUAGCAAGAAACUAGUGAAGUGAGGUGACUCUUCUUCUUCAUUUCUAGGGCUGCUACAAUAACACACCAUCACAUUUAUCAACCAUAACAUAUAUAUAUAUAUAUAUAUAUAUAUAUAUAGAUAAACUAGUACAACGUGUGGCAGCCAAGUGAGAACCCUAUAUCCGUAGCUACAUCUUCUGCUAGCAUUACAAGAACUUAGAGCAUGUUGUUCUAGACCCAGCACUGAACACACCCACAAACCAGAAAAGCACACUAAUUAAGACUAAACCAAACACAAAUUAAGACCUAAUGAAAGAUUUCAAACAGAUCAUUAAAACCAGAUACAAGUAGCAGACCCUGGUGCAGCUAGCCAAACUGGUCUCUGAGUCAUGGUGUAAAUGGGACUGAGCCACCAGCAGAAGGAACAGCAGGGAUAGUGGGGAGGACUGGGACUGGAACACAGCCUCCAGGGAGAGUGCAGAGGCCUGAUGGUCCAAAGCUAACCCCAGUAACAAACCCUGGAGGGCCUGGGAAGAUGCCUCCUGCAGCUCCUCCAUAGAAGUUCUGAGGCUCAUCAACGCCCUCUCCAUUCUCAUCAUGACUCUUGAUCCGCCUUCCUCCUUCAACAUGCAAUGCAGCAACCACUAGGAUAGUGGUCAGGAUCAGCAUCACCUUAUUCACUCUCUCCAUGCUGACCUUUUGCUGCUUUGAGCUCUCUCUCUCUCUCUCUCUCUCUCUCUCUCUACAGUUUUGAGUCACACUCUAAAAUUUGUUACAGGGGUGAAGGAAGAUCAUGACAAACCCACCCUCCUUCUUAUAGUACAAAAGAUCUCCAUUUCAGGAUAAUCAAAAUAACCCUUUUCUCUUAAUUACCAUACAUGGAAUAGGGAUGCUUGCCUUGCUAAAUGCAGUGGUUUAACUUAUGGGACUUCAAUUAAUUCAAGGUCAUUUUGGAAAAUUCAAGUGACUGAUAUUUAACCAUGGUAAAAAUGACACUAACUAACCAUUUUUCAGUGAAGUUAUUAUUAGGUGUAGGUGGGGAGAUGCCAACUGACCAUCCCUCCUCCAUCCCUCUAGUGGGAUUUUAUGGCAUUGUUGUAGAAUUUAUGGUGGUACCUAACACAAACUGAGAUGGGUAAGAGCCCUUAAAUCCCAAGACAUUGGCAUAUUCCUUGCACUUUAUUACCUCUGCAGUUUAAUCUACUGACCUGCUUUAAUUCAUAAACCUACCACACUGAGAACAGAUGUGACUUGGCAGAAAGAGGGAAAAUUUUAAUAUUCAAUUUCACUGAAUUCAGUCUUUGACAAGUUGGGUUGGACCAACAAAUUAGUUUAGUUACUUUAGUACAAUUCUUUUGGUUACACAUGGUAUUAUUAAUUCAUUUGUUUUAAUUAUUUAUAUGAAGAUGUUGAUUGCCACAUGGUUGAAAGUUCAAACUUAAUGCAUAGGUUUGCGAUUGGAGUGUUUAUUAAAAAUUAAACACAAAAAGCUUACUAAUAAACAAGUUUAAUGAAUCAAUUUCAUACAAUUAUGUGUGUGUGACCAGCAAAACAAAGCUCCAAUUUGAUCACGGAGCCAAUAAAUCCCUAUAUAUGUGUUCUAGUUCACAACCUUGCAGUUGUUCCUGAUCUCACCUUGCCUUCCUGUGAGGACAUCAAUGGAGCCCAUUUUCACCAUGGCUGCUGCAAACUUAUUAGCCCAAGCUGCACCAAAUCUGGCAUUGUUCCUCACAAUCCCGGCUGUCGAACGGCUGGUAAGAAGAGUUUGAUCUGAUGUAAGCAGGCCAUGAUGGUUCUUCAAAUCAGUAUAGUACUUGUUGUCAAGCCUAUUUGGUGUAAGAACAUCAAGUGGCACCGUAACUCGAUCAUUGUUUGAUGAUCGAGGGCACUUCUUUUUCAAGUUUCGAGCAAAAAUGGGAUCCAUUGAAGGGUCUUGUGGAUGAGUAGCAUUGAAGAAAUACAAGCGAUCAGAGAAGGAAGAACAAUGUGACACGCCAAUAGAAUGUGCCCCAGAUAAUGUGACCAUUUCAUCCAAGCUAAGGCCUUUUCGGGCGAAACUAUCCUCAAGUUGCUUGGCGUUGAAGGAAGGUGGGGGGAGGUGCUGCGUAGGCUCAUCUUGGAGGGAAACUCUUCCAUCUCGCCGCCCCGAAGGCACGUCAUAAUUUAUCCCACCAACUUUGAGUGCACUGUCACGAGCAGCAAAUGCAAGGAUGUCAGCACAUGACACGGUUUUGGGGCAUUUAGCUUCAAUCUCGGCCUUGGCCUCAUCGAUCACUUCAAAGCCUCUCAAGCUCGGAUUGUUUGCUGGAUGUUCUUUUUCGGAUGGUUGUCCAGGAGUUGAAUCAAGUAGGAUAGAGGCAUCACAACCCUGAAACAAUAAAGAACAUAUAUGUUAGUUGUGAUUAAUUAUUAGUUCUAAUAUACUUAAUUAUAAAAUGUAGAAUAUUAUUCAUGCAUGUGAAUGAAGCUUACCCUAACAAAGCAAUCAUGGAAAUGCAUUCUGAUGAGGCCAGCAGCUAUGCCUGGAUUCUUUGCCACAGCUUUGUUCACAGCUUUUCUCACAAUUGCCUCUGCAGAAGGACAACUCCGUUGAUAGAAACCGACUUUCGGAGCUGCUGAUGCCAUGAAGACCACCAUAAACAUGGCCAAAAAGAAUAUCAAACUCAUUUUUAACGUUGCGGCACUCAUUUUCAACACUUAAAUUGGAUCAAAUGAAUAUUGUACUGAAAGAUAAAAUUAUAUGAAAAAAGAUGAGGAAGUGAGCUGUGGAGAGACGGAGAUGAUGGAAAUAGCUGGUCUUAAUUGCAUAUUUAUAGUUUAAUUAAGAAGAAUGGUGAAGUAUGGAUUUGGUAAAACGUGUGUAGCUAUAGCUAGCUGCAUAGCACAAACUUGACGCUGUCGAAGUUUGAACAGUUCCAUUUGAAACCUGCAUGGUUGGAACUUUCAAUGUUAAUAUUUUUUUUUUCUUUUUUUUGAAAGAUGUCAACUGGCAAUGAAGAGGAUGAUUAGGAAACUUCCCAAGCACCACUUGCAAAUCACAAAUAAUACUCAUAGUUAACACAAAGAUUAUAGCAAAAAGAAACAAGCUUGGUGAGAAAUUAAAAACCAUCAAAGAACUAGAUUUGGUGUUUGACCAAUGCUUCAAUCAAAUGAUAUCUUGUUGAAACGAGCAAAAGCAAAUAAAAUAUUUAUAUCCUGACUAAGUCAAUGGCAUUGCAUUGCAGGCCUCCCUUUCUGUUCAUUGGUGAUGACUAAGUAAGCCAAGCAACCCAGAAAACAAAACAAAUAUAUUUAAUAUAAAAAAAAGUUGGUAAGCGACCAAGCAAGUAUGACAAAGACAGCCAUGGCAUUAGAUUAGAUGUUAACCCUUCUUUUGUUUUGAGGGACACAUUCUUAUCAGAUUUAAAUUUCAAUGACACGAGCCUGGUACUGAAAAUGUUCACAUGCAUCAUAAACAUGAACUGAUUAAGCGAGUUUGAAUUGGACCAAGCCAUUUGAGUUCAGUCUCAGGAAUUGGACUCAUUCAUGCACAAAUAUUGUGUUGGUUGAAAUAUAAAAGAUUCCAAGGUGCUUCACGCCUGCCCUAUUGCAUUCGAUUUUGAUCAUCCUUUCUCGUACAUUAAAAAAAUCCUAGUUUAAACUACAUAUUUGUUUCUAUUGGCUCGUAAGAUGAAACCACACAUUUGUUUAUGUUGUUGUAAGUAGUAUGACUUAAAUUUUUUUAACUGGUUAUUUUGACUUAUGGAGGGUUAAUAACAGAACACAAAUAAUGAGACAUAGGAGAUUAGGAUAAUUACCAAGUUUAAUGAAAGGUUAUAAUUUGUUCAUUAAAAAAAAAACAUUGACUCGGUUAGUUGGUUUUUUUUUUUCCUUUCAAAUUUGUCACAAAAUUGAUUUGAUGGCUGACCAGUGACCACCACUGCUUCUCAGGAACACAAUCACAUGCCCACCAAACACAAUCUAAUAAGACUACUAAUCUUUGUUCCCAAACACAAAUGUUUGUGGCAUUGCCAAAAUUGUAGCAUAGUAAAUACCAAAUUGUAACAAGAAGAUAGUAAUUAUUUGUUUGUUUUUUUCUUUUUUUUUGCUACAAUUAAAAAUAAAAUUGCAUUGUUUGAGAAUUAAACUUAAAAUGGGAAAAAUCAGAGAAUCGGACGGUUCACCGCUCAUCAUCACAGGUACUUAUUCCCAUCAAAUCAUGAUUUCCCGCCUUAUUUUCAACACAGCCCAAUGUCUUUCCCGCCACCGCUUAAGCGAAACGACGUCGCGAGGCCAAGCGCCAAGCACCUGGUCCUGUUUCCCUCUCAAAGAAACGACGCCGUCAUGCUAAAAACCCCUUGUCCUGACAGAACAGAACCAAAUCCCCCAAAACACCCCUCUAAGAAAUCUCAAUGACCGCAAAAAACGCCCUACAGGAGAAGUCAUAAGGCUUAAUGUCCAGUCCUUUUUCGUCACAACAGAAAAAAUCAGUUUCCUUCAAGUCCCUCUUCGAGAGCCCUCGAAAAUCAUAAAUCUUUCACUCGCACUCUGGUUCAAAAACCUUUCUUCUCUAGUUUUUUCAUUUUCAUCGUUUUUGUUAUCCAAAGCAAACCCCUUCAAAUCCCUCUUUCUCUCUCUCUCUCUCUCAUCCUUAGUUCUGAAACCCUAAGUUUUCUUUCUCACUCUAUCUCUUUCUCUCUCUCUAUAUAUAUAUAUUUUCUUUUUGGUUAAUUUUAUCGGGGACUUGUCGCCGCCAAGCCCUAGGGUCCGAAACCAGAACCCUAAUUCACAUUACGAAACCGCAGAAGUUCGCAGAAGGCUAUCUCUGAAGUUUCAGAAAGGUGAGUUUCUUGUUCUUUUUUCGCUGCUUAUACAUGAAUUAAGUGGUUUUCGCAGUAUUUUUCUAUGUUUGGGGAAGGAAAUAGGAAAACCUAAUUUGUUCAUCAGUUGAAGAUUUAUGAACAGAAAAUUAAAGGGGGACGAUAACAAUGAUGCUCAGGGUUUUGCUAGAUUUUCUAAGACUGGCGAUGGCCAUAGAAUGCGAACUUACGCGAAACCCUAAUUUACAAUUUGGCUUUUUAGGGUUUUAUAGCUAAACUAUUUGAGUUUAUUUUUGAAUAUUGAGAAAGUGUGAAUUUUUUUUCUUAAUUUUUUUUUAAAAAUUUAAUUGGCAGAAAGUGAUUAGUUGGCUCUUUGUCUUAUGUAGAAAUUGUUCUUAAUGGCUGAUCAUCGAAAUGGAAAUAGCCAACCUCCUAAUGGAAAAACCAGCACUGGAGCAGGAAGUGCCUAUUCCAUUGAUGUGAAAAAAUUCAGUGAGAGAUUGAAGUUACUUUAUUCUCACUGGAAUGAACAUCGAUCUGAUUUGUGGGGUUCUUCUGAUGUUCUUGCAAUAGCAACACCGCCAGCAUCAGAGGAUUUGCGGUACCUUAAAUCUUCAGCAUUGAAUAUAUGGUUGGUAGGUUAUGAGUUUCCGGAGACGAUCAUGGUUUUCAUGAAGAAGCAGAUUCAUUUCUUGUGCAGCCAGAAGAAGGUGUCUUUGCUAGAAGUUGUAAAAAAGCCUGCCAAGGAAGCUGUGGGUGUAGAUGUUGUGAUGCAUGUGAAGGUAAAGAGUGAUGAUGGCAGUGGUUUGAUGGAUGCAAUUUUCCAUGCCAUUCGUGCUCAAUUGAAGGCUGAUGGCCAUGAUACUGCUGUUGUUGGACACAUAGCAAGGGAGGUCCCUGAGGGAAAUCUCUUGGAAUCAUGGUCUGAGAAGCUGAAGAGUGCAAAUUUUCAGCUAGGUGAUGUAACAAAUGGGUUGUCUGAAUUGUUUGCUGUUAAGGACAAUGAUGAGCUUGUGAAUGUCAAGAGAGCUGCUUUCUUGACUACUAAUGUCAUGAAUAAUAUCGUGGUUCCAAAGCUUGAGACUGUUAUUGAUGAGGAGAAGAAAGUCACCCAUUCUUCUUUUAUGGAUGAGACAGAGAAAGCUAUACUGGAACCCUCUAAAGCUGGAGCAAAGCUCAAGGCUGAGAAUGUUGACAUCUGUUACCCGCCGAUUUUUCAGAGUGGAGGACAGUUCGAUCUCAGACCCAGUGCUGCCAGCAAUGAUGAGUUGCUUUAUUAUGAUUCUGCUAGCGUGAUCAUAUGUGCAGUUGGGUCCCGCUACAAGAGUUACUGCUCAAAUGUUGCCAGGUCUUUUUUGAUUGAUGCUACUUCAUAUCAGAGCAAAGCAUAUGAAGUUCUUCUCAAGGCACAUGAUGCAGCCAUUGGCGAGUUGAAGCCUGGGAAAAAAGUCAGUGCUGCUUAUCAAGCAGCCAUUUCUGUGGUGAAGAAGGAGGCUCCUGAAUUUCCUGAAUUUGUAUCUAAUCUGACAAAAUCGGCUGGGACAGGUAUUGGACUUGAGUUCCGUGAGUCUGGGUUGAAUAUUAAUGCAAAGAAUGAACGGGUGGUUAAAGCAGGCAUGGUGUUUAAUGUGUCACUCGGUUUUCAGAACCUGCAGAGUGGUCGCAGUAAUCCAAAGAACCAGAACUUCUCUUUGUUGCUAGCGGACACCGUGGUGAUCAACAAUGACAAGCCGGAGGUGGUGACAAUUAAAAGUUCUAAGGCUCUUAAGGAUGUGGCAUACUCCUUUAAUGAAGAUGAAGAAGAACCUAAACCUAAAAAGGCGAAAGUUGAGGCUAAUGGGACGGAGGCAUUGAUGUCUAAGACAACCCUGAGGUCAGACAAUCAUGAGAUUUCAAAGGAGGAACUCCGCAGGCAGCAUCAGGCCGAACUUGCUCGUCAGAAAAAUGAAGAAACUGCUCGUAGACUUGCGGGUGCUGGAUCUGGGUCGGGUGACAAUCGUUCUGCAGCGAAGGCUUUAACGGAUUUAAUUGCCUACAAGAAUGUAAAUGAUCUCCCUCCUCCAAGAGAUCUGAUGAUUCAGAUUGACCAGAAGAACGAAGCUGUUCUGUUGCCUAUUUAUGGGAGUAUGAUCCCUUUUCAUGUUGCCACUAUAAGGACAGUUUCCAGCCAACAGGACACCAAUCGGAAUUGUUAUAUCAGAAUCAUCUUUAAUGUGCCCGGGACUCCUUUCAGUCCUCAUGAUGUAAACUCCUUGAAGAACCUUGGGUCUAUAUAUUUAAAGGAAGUUUCAUUUCGAUCCAAGGACCCAAGGCACAUAAGUGAAGUGGUACAGGUGAUUAAAAACCUGCGAAGGCAAGUUGUGGCCAGGGAGUCUGAGAGAGCUGAGAGGGCAACACUGGUUACUCAGGAGAAACUCCAACUAGCUGGUAACAGAUUUAAGCCAAUAAGAUUGUCUGACCUUUGGAUUCGACCUGUUUUUGGUGGCCGUGGAAGAAAGAUUCCUGGUACUCUUGAAGCUCAUGCGAACGGGUUUCGUUUUUCUACCACCAGGCAAGAUGAGCGUGUGGACGUAAUGUUUCCAAAUAUUAAGCAUGCUUUUUUCCAGCCAGCAGAGAAUGAGAUGAUCACUCUCCUCCACUUUCAUCUGCAUAAUCACAUUAUGGUGGGCACCAAGAAAACCAAAGACGUGCAAUUCUAUGUUGAGGUGAUGGAUGUAGUUCAGACCUUGGGAGGUGGAAAGAGGUCUGCCUAUGACCCAGAUGAGAUUGAAGAAGAACAACGGGAGAGGGAUAGGAAGAACAAAAUCAACAUGGAUUUUCAGAGCUUUGUGAAUCGGGUGAAUGAUCUUUGGGGGCAGCCUCAGUUUAAUGGCCUUGACCUUGAGUUUGAUCAACCUCUGAGAGAGCUUGGUUUCCAUGGUGUACCUUAUAAAUCCUCAGCGUUUAUUGUCCCUACUUCAACCUGCUUGGUUGAACUGAUAGAAACUCCUUUCCUUGUCGUCAGUCUAAGUGAGAUUGAAAUUGUGAAUCUGGAAAGAGUUGGGCUUGGACAGAAGAAUUUUGACAUGACAAUUGUAUUCAAGGAUUUCAAACGGGAUGUUCUUCGGAUUGACUCGAUCCCUUCCACAGCGCUUGAUGGCAUCAAGGAAUGGCUCGACACGACAGACCUCAAGUAUUAUGAGAGCAGGCUGAAUCUGAACUGGCGACAGAUUCUGAAGACAAUUACUGAUGACCCACAGAGCUUCAUUGAUGAUGGAGGUUGGGAAUUUUUGAAUUUGGAAGCAUCUGAUUCAGAAUCUGAUCACUCAGUGGAGUCAGACAAGGGUUACGAACCAUCUGAUGUGGAACCUGAAUCGGAAUCGGAGGAUGAUGCUUCUGAUAGUGAAUCGCUUGUGGAGUCAGAGGACGAGUCGGAGGAAGAUUCAGAAGCAGACUCAGAGGAAGAGUUGGGGAAGACAUGGGAAGAGUUGGAGAGAGAAGCUAGCAAUGCAGAUAGGGAGAAAGGGAACGAGUCAGACAGUGAGGAGGAUAGGAAGAGAAGGAAAAUGAAGGCUUUUGGGAAGUCUCGAGCCCCUCCAAGUAGUAGCAUCCCAAAGCGGACCAAGUUGAGAUAGAUUGUGCGAUUGUUUGUUUGUCUUAGCCGUUAUAUUGAAGUGGUUGCCUGACCUAGCUUGGAACUUUUAUUUUCUACUAGUUUGUUUUUAAGGAAUUUCCUCGUCAUUUUGGUCUUCCUAAAUAGAUUAUGUUGCAGACAAGACUUGACCUUUUGCUUGUAAAUUGAUAGCAUGAUUAGCAUCCUUGCUGGAAGUAAAAGCUUUAUCGUCUCUUUUUAUGGUUUGUAUUUCUGUAGAUUUUCGAUUGCCCCAUUUUGUUAUUGUAAUUCCGCAGUUACAAGUAUUUGAUUUGCCAAAAAGGGCUAAAAAAAACUCUUGUUUUUGCCGAAAUGCUUACAGUUGUUAUGUUGAUCCAAAAACACGGAGUAGUUAAUUAUAUACCUUUCUUUUGUCAGAUUAAUAGUUUUAACCAAUUUCUUUUUAACUGAAUUUAACUUCAGCGAGAAGGGCUUUUAACGGAUUUAAUUGAUGCCUACAACAAUUUAUGUAAAUAAUAAUCUCCCUCCUCCAACUCAAAGAGAGUUGUGAUGAUGAUUUGUAUUGACCCGAAGAAUGAAGCUUUUCUGUUGCCCAUAAUAUGGGAGUAUGAUCCCUUUUCAUGUUGCCACCAUAAGAAGAAAUAGUUUCCAGUCCAGUCAACAGGACAACAAUGGGAAAUGUUUUAUCAGAAUCAUCUUUAAUGUUGAUCAUGAUGCCAACUCUUGAAUUUGAAGCAUCUGAUUCUGAGCCUGAUCACUCUUGAGGAUUCAGAGGACGGCACGGGAGGAGUUGGUGAAGGAAGCAAGCAAUGCAGACAGGGAGAAAGGGAACGAGCUGGGCAGAGAGGAGGAGAGGGAGAGAAGGAAGAUGAAAGCUUUGGGCAGUCUCCAGCCCCUCCUAGUAGUAGCAACCGAAAGCGGUCUAAGUUGAGAUAGAUCAUGUGUGUUCUUUUUCCUUUUGGACUAAAUAGAUGAUGUUGGAGACAGGAACUUUUGCUUGUAAAUAAAUGAUCCACUGAGAGACAAACCCAAGUUUACUCAUUUGGCGCAUCUUCACCUGCAAGUAUCACAUUACCAAAAACAAAAUUCACCCGAGGAAUCAUAUAGCAACCAACAUCAGUGAGUGAAACCAAAGUAUGAUAAAAGGAUAUAUGUAAAACCCUUUAAUUUUGUUCUUUCCUAACAUCUUAUGUUGAAGGAAAAUGGUGAUCUUCCUAAUAUAAUUUCACCACCACUAAUUAAAUAAUGGGGUUUUAUUAUUUUUGGGUUCGACCCAUUCGAGACGCAAGUCUCUUAAUUACAAUCCCUUGCUUCAAGGGAAAACCCUUUGAUUCCAUCAUAAAGAAACAGAACGUGUGUGUUUGAUUUUGCAGCUGCUCCCAAGUCCAACCUCAGGAUGCCUACGUAUCCUUUGCAGGAAUCAAGCCACUCGUAGUUCAAAGAUUCAUGAUGAAUAAAUGACUCAUCACAAAACGAAGAAUUUGAAUGGGUUUAAUUGAGGAGUUUGAGUGAAUUUAGCUGAAUAAACCAGAGAUUCGAUAUGGAAAUAUGUUUGGGAUGGUUGCAUCUAGAUUGAAUCUCUAGAUUGCCUACGUACCCUUUUACAGGGAUCAAACCAACGUAGUUCGAAAUUGAUUUGUGUAAAGGUAGAUAUUUGAUUUUUUGGGGGAAUUUGGUUGAUGUAACCAGUGAUUCAAAUUGGUUGCGGUUGCGCCUAUUGAGAUGUUAGACUGCCUACGUACCCUUAACGGGGAUCAAACCGACGUAGUUCCAAAAUUCAGAAAUUAAUGGGUAAGUGUGGCCCAAUAAUUUAGAGUUGGUGUCUUUGAGACGAUUUGAAGAUUUUCAUAGGUAAAUGACCUAUGGGAAAAAUUGGAAAUUAAUGGGUAUGUAUGACCCAAUAAUUUAGAAUUUGUAUCUUUGAGAUAAUUUGGGGAUUUUCAUAGGUAGGUGACCUAUGAGAAAAUUUUGAAAUUAAUGGGUAAGUGUGGUCCACUAAUUGAGAAUUUGUGUUUGAGAUAUUUGAAUUUAAUCUCAUUGAAAUUUUCAUGAGUAGAUGACCCAUGAGAAAAAUUGGAAAUUAAUGGGUGAGUGUGGCCCAUUAAUUGAGAAUUUGUGUUUGAGAUAUUUGAAUUUAAUCUCAUUGAAAUUUUCAUGAGUAGAUGACCCAUGAGAAAAAUUGGAAAUUAAUGGGUGAGUGUGGCCCAUUAAUUGAGAAUUUCUUUUUGAGAGAUUUGAUUUUAAUCUCAAUGAAAUUUGUAUGGGUAGAUGACCCAUGGGGAAAAUUAGAUCUCUGUAAAUUUAAUGGGUAAUUAUUUGGAUUACCCAUUAAUUACUAUGGGCUUUUGAAAAUCAAUGGACAAUUAUUUUUGAUAGUCCAUUAUUUUAUUUCGGGCCUGUGAUAUUUUGACUGGCCCAUUUUUUUGGACAUGUGAAGAAGAGAGAAAAGAAGGAAAGAAGAGAGAGAGUUGAAAUAAAUCCAAAACACAAAAAAAAGUGGCUGACGCCACUUUUUAUUAUUUUUUUAUUUUUUUGUCUUUUGACUUCUUCUUUUUUUUUCUUUGAAUUUCUUCCCCCUUUUGAAACCAAGUGGCUGACGCCACUUUCCCAUUUUUUCUUACUCUUCUUCCAUUUUCUCUUUCGACAGGAGUCUUCCUUCUUUUUUGUUAUUUGCUGCUACUAUCUGCAGUAUCAGGCCGACCAACAGCCAACAAGGUUGUCUUCCUUUUCAAGCACAGCUUAUUUUUUAUUUGCUGUGAGAUUAAACCCCCAAUGAUUUUGUUUGUGGGUUUUGUACCCAAAUUGGAUUUGUGCUCUUGAGAACUCACUGAAAGAGUUUUAUGCCCAAAAAAAAUGGAUAUACCAUUCAGGGUAUUUGAUUGAGGGUUACACACCCAUGAUGGAUUUCGUAUCCAAGAUUCUUGAGGGUGAAAUGCCCAGGCUUUAUUUCAAGGGUGAAAACCAAUAUUUGCUUUGAGGGUGAAAACCCAUAUUUGUUUUCAGGGUGAAAUACCCAAAUUUUGUUUCUGGGGUGCAAAACCCAAACUUGUUUUGAGGGUGAAAACCCAUAUUUGUUUUCAGGGUAAAAAAAAAUAUUUGAACAUCCAAGAAAUUUUGAUUCAAGGUUGCCAAGGGUUGCCACCCUACAUGGAUUGCCAUCCAUUUGAUUGAUUAAAGGGUUGCCACCCAAAAAACGGAGGACCUCAAGAGAGGAGCCUUGAUUGCCUCUGUCAUAUUUCUUCAGCAUGGCUAUGCAUCCGCCAUGUUCCCCAAGCCUUGUUGUCUUUUUUUUGGGUAUCUCUUCACAGUCUGCCGUUGUGCUAUUUUUCUUUCUGCAGCAGUUUUCUUCUUCUGUCCUGUUCUGCUCCCUCCCUCUGUCCUCCUCUUUUUUUUUUUCUCCUUUAAUGCAAAAUAUUUAUACUAAAAACUGGAUAACCAGCUCCCCCAAAAAUAGGAGCCACUAAACUCUUUAGACCCCCACCUUUUUCCAAACUUCCCCCCACCUUUUUCCAAACUUCCCCCCACUUUCCAAUAUUUUGUGAUUUUUGUGAUUUUUUUAUUCCAACAGAUGCCCCCUCAAGCUUUGUGCGUGUGGCAUUUUUUUUUUUUUUACGCGUGCAAAGCUUGAGAUGCCUUUGACUAGCAUUAUAAGCUAACAUAUGUAUAUGUUUUUUUUUUUUACCUUUGAUUUCAGGUGAUGGAUGCUUAUGGAAAUCUUCACAAGGAACAUGCUUCCGAUGAAUAUGGUAGGGCCAUGGCCUUUGGUUCAGUAUUCUUUUGCUCUUGUAAUGUAGUUUUUCCACCAAGAACAAUUUUCAGAAUAAAGAUUUUGUCGGAUUUGCUUUUCUAUUUCACAGUUUAUACUCGUGCGAAGUUGGAGUUCUUUUGCGUAGUAUACAACAGUUUAAACACGUGCUAACACCAUCGGUGGACAAGAAUGAAUUCAUGAUAGUUUACGGCUGCGUCUAGCUUUUGGGCUAGCUUGCCUACGUACCCUGUGAAGGGAUCAAGCCGAACGUAGUUCACCCUCCUUGAAUUGAGGUAAUAAAGGGGGAUUUGGGGUCUUGUGACUGAAUCUAGCUUUUUAGAGACUAGACUGCCUACGUACCCCUUUUUUAGGGAUCAAGUCAACCGUAGUUCUUUGCUUGGGCCGCCCUUUCGGGUUUUCAACCCAAAAUUUUUUUUUUUUUUUUUUUUUUGGUGCUCUAAUUUUGCUUGGGCCGCCCUUUCGGGUUUUCAGCCCAACGAGCAUUUUUUAAUUUACCCUAACUUUUGCUUGAACAGCCCUUUUGGGUUUUCAGUCCAACGGGUCUCUUUUUUUUUUCUUUUUUUUUUUAACCAUCAGGCGUAAAAUUUCUUGACGAAUUUCCCGUUCACACAAGGAUAUAUGCACUUGCCUUCGGAGUUUGACAAUUCGUAGGCACCCUUGGAGAAAACCUUAGUAAUGACGUAGGGCCCCUCCCACUUGGGUUCAAACUUACCAUGCAUUUUCCUAGUAAUGACGAAGGGUCUUCGGACAGUUAAAACCAAGUCUCCAAUUGAGAAAGAUCUGAACUUAACUUUUCUGUUGAAUGCCCCUGCCACCUGAGCCUGAUAUAUUUCGAGCCUUUGUUGAGCCGCCAAUCUUUUCUCAUCGAGAGCUUCCAAUUCUGCCAGUCUCACAUUUGCGUUCUCGUCGGGGUUUGUUAGCUGUAAUGCUACCCUUAACGAUGGCAAUUGGACUUCUAAUGGUGGAACCGCCUCAGAACCAAACACCAAAUUGUACGGUGUACAUCCUGUUGAGUUGCGUAUGGUCGUCCUGUAAGCCCAUAAUGCUUCAGGGAGGCGUUCAUGCCAAUCUCUUUUGUUUCCUGAGACCAUCUUCUUUAGGAUAUUGCACAAUACUUUAUUGAAAGCUUCAGCUUGACCAUUUGACGACGGAUUGUAACUCGCGGAGAACGAGUGUUGAAACUUAUACUUCUCGCACAACUUGGUCAUGGACUUGCAUUUGAAAUACAAUGCAUUGUCAGAUAUAAUCUUCGAUGGAACCCCAUAACGGUAGAUGAUGUGGUUCCUUAUGAAGUUUGUAACAUCGUCUGCUCGUACCUCCUUUAAAGGAAUUGCUUCAGCCCAUUUAGAGAAGUAAUCAGUCGCGGCCAAGAUGUAUUGAUGUUGACGUGAUGACUUAGGCUUUAUCAUGCCAAUAACAUCUAAUCCCCAAGCUUCAAAUGGCCAAGACAAAGUUGUCGGAUGCAAUUGUUGGGGAGGUUGGUGAAUAAAGUCUCCAUGUAAUUGGCAAUCUUUACAUGUGGUUGCAAAUUUUAUUGAGUCUCGGACCAUUGUUGGCCAGUAAUAACCCAAUCUCUUUAGUUGGUUCGAAAGUUUUGGCCCAGCUUGAUGAGCACCACAAGUGCCAGCAUGAGUAUCAUGAAGGGCCUUAGUUGCAUCUUGUUUCGACAGACACCUUAACAACAUACCAUCAAAUGAUCUUUUGUACAAGGUAUCAUUUAAGUACAGAAAUCGAGUGACUCUGCGUCGGACUUCAGCCUUUUUCCUUGAGUCAUUUGGCAACUUGCCAAGUAGUAGAUACUCGAUUAUGGGAUGGCGCCAAUCAAGAUCAUCCGGUUCCUCCUCACAUUCGGAGGACGUAAUAACGUUUGAAUCCACAACUUCUUCAAUUCUCUCUAUAGCUGGGGGUAGCAAAUAACGUUCCCCAACGGUGACUUGGAUAUCCCUUUCGCUAGGUAGUGUUAACGAUGCAGCCAAAUUAGCUAGUGCAUCAGCUUUAUCAUUUUCCGACCUCGGGAUGUGACUAACAUGAAUGUCUUGAAACUGUGACAUGAGAUACUUCGCCCUUUCAUGGUAUGGGACGAGAGAAGCAUUUCUGACUGCAUAUUGACCAUUCAACUGUCUGACGGCCAACUGUGAAUCACCAUAUACUUGCAAACAAUCAAUAUGCAUCUCGAGGGCAAUUUCAAGGCCAAUGAUGAGUGCCUCGUAUUCUGCCACAUUAUUCAAACAUAAAGUUAGUAAGGAGAAUGAGUAUGGGAUUAAGCCCCCAGACGGCGUGAUGAAUAUUAAUCCUGCCCCAGCUCCGUUUCUUCUUGCUGCCCCAUCAAAAUAUAGUUGCCAUGUAAGUGAUUCUAUUGCGAACACCUCCUCAUUAGGCAAAUCUGCAGGUAACUCCAUGUUGUCGGGAGUAGGAUGAGCAGCCAAGAAAUCGGCAAGAGCUUGCCCUUUGAUCGCCUUUUGUGGCACAAAUUUUAUCUCAAACUCAGAAAGGAGGAGUGACCACUUGGCUAUUCGCCCAGAGAGCACAGGCUUGGACAUUAAAUAUCGGAGCGGAUCUGCCUUGGAAAUCAAGAUGACUCUAUGAGAGAGGAUGUAGUGUCGUAGCUUCUGGACAGCAAACACUAAUGCAAGGCAGACCUUUUCUAUAGGGGUGUAAUUUUGUUCUGCCCCUACGAGUGUUCUACUCAAGUAGUAGAGUGCAUUUUCCUUUCCAUCAUCAUUGUGUUGAGCGAGCAAUGCCCCCAACGAGCGUUCUAACGCUGCAAUAUACAAGAUUAAGGGCUUCCCUUUAAUUGGCGCCAUAAGAACUGGCGGAUUUAAUAGGUAUUGUUUAAUGCUUUCUAAGGCAUUUUGACAUGCUUGAUCCCAUACAAAUGGAACAUCCUUCUUCAUGAGCCUCGAGAAUGGUUGGCACCUUCCAGAAAGAUUUGAGAUGAACCGUCGUAUAUAGGCUAGUCUGCCUUGCAACCCUCGCAACUCCCUUAAAUUUUGAGGGGGAGGCAUUUCACGGAUUGCCUUGAUUUUUGAGGGAUCAAUUUCAAUUCCUCGAUGUCGGACAACGAAGCCAAGGAAUUUGCCUGAAGUUACCCCAAAUGCACACUUCAAGGGGUUCAUUUUCAACUGGUGCUUUCGGAGUCUAUCAAAAACUCGUUUUAAGUCACUCAAAUGAUGUUCCCUUUUCCUGGUUUUAACCACCAAAUCAUCAACGUAACACUCAAUAGUAUUGUGAAGCAUGUCAUUGAAAAUUGUUGUCAUAGCUCUUUGGUAAGUUGCCCCAGCAUUUUUCAACCCAAAAGGCAUCACAGUGUAGCAAUAUAUUCCUUUUGGAGUGCGGAAGGCAGUUUUUUAUUGAUCCUCUGGAGCCAUUUUUAUUUGGUUGUAACCUGAGAAUUCAUCCAUGAACGAUAGAGCACCAAAACCGGUUGUUGCAUCUACCAAUAAUUCUGUGAUUGGGAGCGGAAACUCAUCUUUUGGGCAUGCAUCAUUGACAUCUCUAUAGUCCACGCAUAUACGCAGUGCCCCAGUUUUUUUUAAGUACUGGAACAAUAUUGGACAACCAAGUGGGAUAGUGGACUUCUCGAAUAAAACCGGCAGCAAUAAGCUUGUCAAUCUCAAUUUCUAUUUGGAUUGUUAGCUCUGGCCGAAAACGGCGUGGCACUUGCUUCACCCAUCGAACCUCGUUAGGUAUCCCAAGUUUGUGAACUGCAACGUUUGGGUCUAACCCUGGCAUGUCUAGAUAACUCCAUGCAAAUACGUCUCGGUACUCUUGCAACAGUUGUGUGUAUUCUUCUAACUCUUGCGGCGUUAACGAAGCACUGACAAAGAUAGGUUUUGGGUCAUCAACUGUACCAAGAUUAAUUUCUUGCAGAUCAUCAAUUGUGGCUUGACCACCCUCCUCCAUUUGGGGUGGAGCUGGUUGGACUAUGUCAAUGAAUCCCUCGAUAUCUUGAGGAUCAUCAUCUUGGCCCACCGCUUCUUUGAAAGAGGUGCAAUUGACUUGGACAAGGUCAUCCUUUAUUUUCACCCUUUUGACCUUCUCGAUCACGGCUUUCUCUUGACUCCUAACCUUCCAUUUCCUUUUAUUAUGGACUUUCCCUUGUUGAGAAUUGGAAGGGUUUUCCAAGCGGUGAAAGACUGAGAUGCGGGAUGGCUGUCUGCUCCCUAAGCGUUUGAACACAGAGACGCGGAGCGGCCUUAUAUUCACCUCAUCUUCUCUAAACAUAGCUUGUUCCAUAUUAGUGAGUAUCUCGGACUCGGAAACUUCCAGCUGUGGCCUUCGAAGAAACACUUUGAGCACACCACUCUCAUUUUGAACUGUGAGGCCAGCAUUGCUUUUCUUUGUUUUACGGCCUCUAAGUUUUAUCUUUAAUGGAGUAAAUGUUGUUUCUGGCAAUGAUUCUUUUUUGUGAAGAACUAUACGUUUACUCAGGCCCUUGUUUUUGCCAAAAGUAGUCGAAAUGACCAAAUCGUCCCCUGGGAUAGACUGAUUGAUCUUACGAAGAGGACGAAUGUAGCUUGCCGUCAUCAGUGACUCCAUUGUUUGUUUCGAGGAGCUUGUUUCCUUUUCACUAGGCUCCUUUUUUGAAGUCUUGACAAUUAUCUUUGGCUUGGGAGCCUUUUGCAGUCGGGAUUUCUUCCACUUUUGAGAAUGAUGUACCACGAGGUUUUAGCUUCACUCGAAUUACGUUUGAAGGUUUGGGUACUUCUACCUUUUUUGCCUUUCCUGUUUCAACAGUCACUCUUUCCUCUUUAACAACCUUUGAUGGCUGUGUGAAUGAGAUACCUGGUGGACUGUAAAAUUUCACAUCAGAGUAAUUUACCUCUUCACCUCUGAACGGGUCCAUGUCAGCUGAAACGGUCUUGACUUCCCCAUCCAUCGAGUAUUUGAAGCACUGGUGAAGUGUGGAAGGGACUACUCCAUAUGUAUGGAGCCAUGGGUGUCCUAGGAGGACAUUGUAUGAAGUGUCAGCAUCGAUCACAUGGAAUAGGGCAUCUGAAUAUAGUUCCCCUAUUUCCAUUUGCAGUGCGAUAGAACCCAUGGCUUUUUGCCCAAGUUGAUUGAACCCUUGAAUAGUCAGCAUAGAUGGAGAUAAUUGUCGGGCACUCAUCCCUAUAGCUUGGAGUGUCUUUAAAGGGAUAAGAUUCACAGCCGAACCACAAUCUAACAAGAUUCGAUUGAUGAUCGUGCCUCCAACUUCGCCAGUGACAUAAAGAGGUCGAUUAUGGAAUUUGGAUCCAAGUAAGAAGUCAUCUUCACCGAAGGUAAUUGCUGCCAGACACGAUGCACAAAACUUCAAGGUUUCAGUUGUGUGGACGUCUACUGAUUUGAAACAUGAUUUGUACAAAUCCGGGCUCUUUAAAGCCAUUACAAGUGCUUCUCUAAGCUCUCUCGACAUUUGUAAAGCGUCAUAAACACUUAAAGGAGCGGGGAUGCGCUUAAGAUGAGCCCAGAUAUCAUACUUAAGUGCAUGUGAUUGUGAAGGCUCUUUUGUUUUACUAGUGUCGGGCUCAAGGUCUUUUGCUUUUGAAGAGGACGGUGGAACUUCCCUUGCAACAGCUUUUUCUGACAAGGAGACCUUAAUCUCUUUCGCCUUUGACUUCUUCUCGGUUUUAAAGGGAUCAGCUUCCUCAUUUUCUUGUUGUUUAUUAGCAGAUGGGAUGCUCCGACCGGAGCGGAGGUUAAUCUCAUCAACCUCUGUGUCAACCUCAUAUUCUCCCACAGAAACCAUAUUGCAUUGGAUAAUUUCUUCCUCAACCUCGGAUUCACUCGAGAAGAACUCAACUGGCAAGAAUUCAGUGAGUGUGACAGGGACCCUUGCGGGUUGCUCAUAUUCAUCCUCUUGAGGGAUAUGAACCUUCUUUUGCACCUUCUUCUUCUUCCUUUUAUUUUUCGAGGCUGGCAUGCCUCGAAUCUUGACAACAGAACGAUAAACAGAUUUGUGAUUGGGUGGGAAAUGUUUGGCCAUGUGCUUGGCUCUUUUAACAAAUGUCUUCCACCCCUCAGCAGAUUCGUCGGCCGAAGAAUCUUCCCAUACCUCUAGACUGGGUGCAGUCAUAAGCUCAUGAAGAGCGGGAAUUUGAAGAUCACUAAACCACGGUGCAUUUGGAUAGGCAUGCACAAUUGUACCCUCAUUGUCAGUAUUAAAACCUGCAAGUUUCACUCCGUCUAGUGGUGUAGUGGUAGGUGUGAGCUUUUCCUCUAUCAUAUUUGCCGCAGCUGAAUGAUGUUGGGGAGAAGAGUCUAUCACCAAGCCACCAUUGUUGAGGAGCUCUUGAAUUUUGUCUUUCAGGAUAUAACAAUCCUUGAGCGUAUGACUGAUGAGGCGAUGAUACCGAUAAUACCUAGGGUCAUUUGUCUUGUUAGCCUCAGCAGGACGCUUUGAUUCUGGCAAAGCAAUACCAUUGGAGGCCAAAAGUUGGUCAAAGAUUUCUUCCACAUCCUCAUCGUUGAAAGAAUAUUUAACCUCUUUGCGCUCUUUGAGAGUGAGCCUUUUGGGUGGGUCUUUGCUUUGGCCUUUGUCAUUUCUCUUUUCUGUUUUGACAAAAGUGGCCAAUGACUCUCCUUUUGCAGACUUCUUGUCAUUUUUCUUCUCCCCAAAUUGAAUUUUUUGGGUCGCGGACUUUUGACGAGCAAUUUGUCUUUCAACAUUGCUCGCCUUUGACACCAAGGCAUCAAAUGAUUGAGGUUCAGCAGUGGCAACAAAAGUCGCAAUAUCUGGUAUGAGGUUGUUGUAGCACAUUUGCACGGCUGAUUGCUCGGUAAUUUUCUCCGGGCAUUGAAGAUUGAGGCUUCUCCAUCUCAUUAUGAAGUCAUUAGCACUUUCCCCUGGCUUUUGGGUAGUUUAAGCUAGGUCCAUGAUCGAGACCUUCUUCUUUGAACUGACAAACUGUGCCAAAAAUGCUUUUUGCAUGUCGUCCCAUGUCAGGAUAGAACCUGGUGGCAGUUGUGUAUACCAAGUGAAAACUGACCCUUUUAGGGAUUGGACAAAUUGACGCACCAGAAGAGCGUCUGACUGAGAUGUCUCGCCACAUGCUGAGUAAAAAUGUGCCAAAUGUUCAUGGGGUGAGCUACUUAUGCCAUCAAAUUUAUCAAAUAUAGGCCGUUGAUAACCCUUCGGGAAUGAUAUGGCGUCAUAGUGAGAAGGGAAAGGUUUUCGAUACCCUUGAACAGGAGGUGCUAUAGACAAUUGGAACUCACGAAUUCCUUCAGCAAUUAACACCUUUAUGUCAUUUGGGGAAAUUGUGCUCGUAGAGCUUUCUGCUUUUUCCUCUUUUGUUUGUUGUUCUUGGGCGGUCGAUUCAUUUGUUUUGCUCAUGUCUUGCUCACCUAUGAUGUUUUUUCCUUUCAGCCGAGCGGAUAGUAACGCUAUUUCCGCGUCUUUUUCUGCCAACUUCUGCUGCAUUUCCCUUCGCAGGUCCUGCAUCAUUUCUUGGAUUAAAGGUAACUGGUCCUCAGUAUUAGAAGUACCAGUCAUCAUGACUUGCAUGCUUUCCACUCCCUCAUGAAGUUUGGCCCCUUGGGAUGAUAUACAAUCAUUCUCUUGAGUUUGAGAUACAGGAUCAUCAUAGAGAGGAUUCCAUUGCAAAUAAUCAUCCAAGGUUGAGCUUAGACUGGAUAACUCGGGAAUAAUCGUCCCAACCAUGUUUCGGGAUUUAGAACGAGUCAAUGGACCCACGUAGGUCCUCGACUGAUCUUGAGGUUUUGGGACUCCCCCUUGUGAUACGAGAAUCUGAUCCCUUGAAACAUCAGUUAUCUUCACCUUUUUCACGCGUUUCCUUUGUGGAUGAGGUAUGUUCACCACCUUCUUUUUCAUGACCGUGGCUCUGCUUUUACCCUUAGGAGAACAUGGGUAAACCUCUUGUAAUGUGGAUUCCACAACAUGGGCUCUAAGGCUUGAUGGAGGUUCGGCCUCUUGGACCUCGACGUUCUUCACGAAGUCGUCUUUUUGACCUUCAUCUCUAGCUUCGUUGAUGGAAGUCAUCAGAACAGAAUCUGUAGGAUAUAGGUUGACUGGAAUUGAUCCAAUCAUGAUUUGGACAAAUUGGGAAGUAUUUGUUCUCUUGGGAGUCGGCACAGCCAGGGUGGUUAAGGUGUUCUUGCCCUCAGUCAUUAUUGGGCUUGUCCCAGAAAGCUGGGAUAAGAUUGCCUCAAUAGACUCCUUUUUUGCUUCUUUCUUUCUUAAAGCACGCGCAGCCCUCUUUCUUCCAUUUCGGAGAGCGUUCUUGGACGCAGUUUUCUUCAAUUGGGUCUUCACGACCUUAGGAGUGACCUGAGGUCUGGCCCUUUGAAUGGGCUUUGGCACAGUGCACUUGAUGAGGCUCUCACCAACAAUGAAAGUCUUUUUGAACCCUACUCGUUUGGUGCACGCAUUCUUGGUAGUUUCAAUUUUGUGAAAGAAAAUCGUUACUUGUGGUGCCAUCGUAUCUGGUUUUGUUAACCUGUGAAAAACACAAAUAAAUAAAACAAACAUUAGUCACUCUAUGAUUGGAGAUGAAAAGGUAAAUGGGUCCCACCGGGCGUGCCAAAAAUUAUGUUGAAGGAAAAUGGUGAUCUUCCUAAUAUAAUUUCACCACCACUAAUUAAAUAAUGGGGUUUUAUUAUUUUUGGGUUCGACCCAUUCGAGACGCAAGUCUCUUAAUUACAAUCCCUUGCUUCAAGGGAAAACCCUUUGAUUCCAUCAUAAAGAAACAGAACGUGUGUGUUUGAUUUUGCAGCUGCUCCCAAGUCCAACCUCAGGAUGCCUACGUAUCCUUUGCAGGAAUCAAGCCACUCGUAGUUCAAAGAUUCAUGAUGAAUAAAUGACUCAUCACAAAACGAAGAAUUUGAAUGGGUUUAAUUGAGGAGUUUGAGUGAAUUUAGCUGAAUAAACCAGGGAUUCGAUAUGGAAAUAUGUUUGGGAUGGUUGCAUCUAGAUUGAAUCUCUAGAUUGCCUACGUACCCUUUUACAGGGAUCAAACCAACGUAGUUCGAAAUUGAUUUGUGUAAAGGUAGAUAUUUGAUUUUUUGGGGGAAUUUGGUUGAUGUAACCAGUGAUUCAAAUUGGUUGCGGUUGCGCCUAUUGAGAUGUUAGACUGCCUACGUACCCUUAACGGGGAUCAAACCGACGUAGUUCCAAAAUUCAGAAAUUAAUGGGUAAGUGUGGCCCAAUAAUUUAGAGUUGGUGUCUUUGAGACGAUUUGAAGAUUUUCAUAGGUAAAUGACCUAUGGGAAAAAUUGGAAAUUAAUGGGUAUGUAUGACCCAAUAAUUUAGAAUUUGUAUCUUUGAGAUAAUUUGGGGAUUUUCAUAGGUAGGUGACCUAUGAGAAAAUUUUGAAAUUAAUGGGUAAGUGUGGUCCACUAAUUGAGAAUUUGUGUUUGAGAUAUUUGAAUUUAAUCUCAUUGAAAUUUUCAUGAGUAGAUGACCCAUGAGAAAAAUUGGAAAUUAAUGGGUGAGUGUGGCCCAUUAAUUGAGAAUUUGUGUUUGAGAUAUUUGAAUUUAAUCUCAUUGAAAUUUUCAUGAGUAGAUGACCCAUGAGAAAAAUUGGAAAUUAAUGGGUGAGUGUGGCCCAUUAAUUGAGAAUUUCUUUUUGAGAGAUUUGAUUUUAAUCUCAAUGAAAUUUGUAUGGGUAGAUGACCCAUGGGGAAAAUUAGAUCUCUGUAAAUUUAAUGGGUAAUUAUUUGGAUUACCCAUUAAUUACUAUGGGCUUUUGAAAAUCAAUGGACAAUUAUUUUUGAUAGUCCAUUAUUUUAUUUCGGGCCUGUGAUAUUUUGACUGGCCCAUUUUUUUGGACAUGUGAAGAAGAGAGAAAAGAAGGAAAGAAGAGAGAGAGUUGAAAUAAAUCCAAAACACAAAAAAAAGUGGCUGACGCCACUUUUUAUUAUUUUUUUAUUUUUUUGUCUUUUGACUUCUUCUUUUUUUUUCUUUGAAUUUCUUCCCCCUUUUGAAACCAAGUGGCUGACGCCACUUUCCCAUUUUUUCUUACUCUUCUUCCAUUUUCUCUUUCGACAGGAGUCUUCCUUCUUUUUUGUUAUUUGCUGCUACUAUCUGCAGUAUCAGGCCGACCAACAGCCAACAAGGUUGUCUUCCUUUUCAAGCACAGCUUAUUUUUUAUUUGCUGUGAGAUUAAACCCCCAAUGAUUUUGUUUGUGGGUUUUGUACCCAAAUUGGAUUUGUGCUCUUGAGAACUCACUGAAAGAGUUUUAUGCCCAAAAAAAAUGGAUAUACCAUUCAGGGUAUUUGAUUGAGGGUUACACACCCAUGAUGGAUUUCGUAUCCAAGAUUCUUGAGGGUGAAAUGCCCAGGCUUUAUUUCAAGGGUGAAAACCAAUAUUUGCUUUGAGGGUGAAAACCCAUAUUUGUUUUCAGGGUGAAAUACCCAAAUUUUGUUUCUGGGGUGCAAAACCCAAACUUGUUUUGAGGGUGAAAACCCAUAUUUGUUUUCAGGGUAAAAAAAAAUAUUUGAACAUCCAAGAAAUUUUGAUUCAAGGUUGCCAAGGGUUGCCACCCUACAUGGAUUGCCAUCCAUUUGAUUGAUUAAAGGGUUGCCACCCAAAAAACGGAGGACCUCAAGAGAGGAGCCUUGAUUGCCUCUGUCAUAUUUCUUCAGCAUGGCUAUGCAUCCGCCAUGUUCCCCAAGCCUUGUUGUCUUUUUUUUGGGUAUCUCUUCACAGUCUGCCGUUGUGCUAUUUUUCUUUCUGCAGCAGUUUUCUUCUUCUGUCCUGUUCUGCUCCCUCCCUCUGUCCUCCUCUUUUUUUUUUUCUCCUUUAAUGCAAAAUAUUUAUACUAAAAACUGGAUAACCAGCUCCCCCAAAAAUAGGAGCCACUAAACUCUUUAGACCCCCACCUUUUUCCAAACUUCCCCCCACCUUUUUCCAAACUUCCCCCCACUUUCCAAUAUUUUGUGAUUUUUGUGAUUUUUUUAUUCCAACAUCUUACAAGAAAAAAAAGUUUGUUUUAACACGCAGAAGGAACAGAGACAACAAAAAAACACCCAUUUUGACUUUUUUCUUUUUGUUAACUCAUUACUCUUCUUGCGUAACAUCUUCAAAAUGGAACACCCCUAAUACUGGAGUUAUACAACUCAAAUCUAAUUCUGUUGCUCAAGAUGCUGCAUAAGUUAAAGAAACAGAAGAUAAAAGCAGACAACUGUCACCUAAAUUUGGGCCUCUUGGGAAGGCUGCCACCAAGAUUUCUCUUGUCAGGAGGUGCCCGAGCCUUUCCAAAAGCCUUAACCUUCCUUCUUGCCCUCUCCUCUUCGCUGUCUGAGUCAUUCCCCUUUUCCCUGUCUGCAUAACUUGCUUCCCUCUCCAACUCUUCCCAAGUCUUUCCUUCUUCCUCUUCUGAGUCUUCUCCCGACUCUUCUUCCUCAUCAUCCUCGGACUCCACCAAUGACUCGCUGUCAUCAUCCUCAUCCUCGGAACCUGAAUCUGACUGUAUAUCUGAAGGCACAUAUCCAUGGUCAGACUCCUGAGAAUUAUCGGAAUCAGAAUCACUAACUUCCAUAUUUAAGAAUUCCCAUCCACCAUCCUCUAUGAACUUCUCAGGGUCGUCAGUGAUGGUUUUCAGUAUAGGACGCCAGUUGAGAUUCAACCUACUCUCAUAAUACUUGAGGUCAGUUGUGUCUAACCACUCCUUAAUGCCAUCUAGUGAUGUUGAAGGAAUGGAAUCAAUUCUAAAUACAUCUCGCUUGAAGUCCUUGAAAACAAUAGUCAAAUCAAAGUUCUUUUGCCCAAGACCAACUCUCUCAAGGUUUACUAUUUCAAUCUCACUUAGAGUAAUUACCACAAAUGGUGUCUCUAUCAGCUCAACCAGACAGCUCGAAGUUGGGACAAUGAAAGCUGAGGCUUUAUGAGGUACUCCAUGGAAGCCAAGCUCUCUAAGGGGCUGAUCAAACUCAAGGUCAAGCGCUUUGAAUGGGGGCUGCCCCCAUGAAUCAUUUACUCGGUUCACAAAGUUCUGGAAUUCCAUAUUAAUUUUGUUCUUUCGUUCUCUCUCACGCUGCUCUUCCUCAAUCUCAUCAGGAUCAUAUGCAGACCUCUUUCCACCUCCCAGUGUCUGAACUACAUCCAUCACCUCCGCAUAAAAUUGCACGUCCUUAGUCUUUUUGUUUCCUACCAUAAUAUGAUUGUGAAGAUGAAAGUGCAGCAGGGUAAUCAUUUCCUUCUCAGCUGGCUGGAAAAAUGCAUGUUUGAUAUUGCUAAACAUAACAUCCACACGUUCAUCAGGCCUUGAAGUAGAAUACCGGAACCCAUUUGCGUGGGCUUCCAGAGAUCCGGUGAGCUUUCUUCCACGACCACCAAAAACGGGACGAAUCCAUAGAUCAGGCAAUCUUUUUGGCUUGAAUUUGGCUCCUGCAAUUUGCAGCUUCUCUUGCGUAACUAAAGUUGCCCUUUCAGCUCUUUCAGAUUCCCUUGAGGCAACCUGCCGGCGAAGGGUUUUAAUUAGCUGUACUACUUCGCUUAUAUGCCUAGGAUCCUUAGAACGGAAUGAAACUUCCUUUAAAUAAAUUGACCCUUGAAACUUCAGGGAGUUUGCAUCAUGAGGACUAAAUGGGGUGCCAGGUACAUUAAAGAUUAUACGGAUGUAGCAAUUCCGGUUACUGUCCUGCUGGCUGGAAACACUCUUCACAGUUGCCACGUGAAAAGGAACCAUGUUUCCAUAAAUGGGCAAGAGGAUGGCUUCAUUCUUCUGGUCAACUUGAAUCAUCAACUCUCUUGGAGGAGGAAAAUCAUUGACAUUCUUAUACGCGAUCAGAUCACCAAUUGUCUUCCCAGCACCACGACUAUCCAUUGAUGCAGAACCCCCACCCGCAAGCCUCCUAGCAGUUUCUUCAUUCUUUUGGCGGGCAAGUUCAGCUUGGUGCUGCCUACGUAGCUCUUCUUUUGACAUUUCAUGGUUGUCUGACCUAAGUGUGGCCUUACUCAUGGCACUCCUCCCAGCACCUCUACUUUCGGCUUUAGGUUUCGCCCGCUCUUCUACUUCAUCAUCAUCGUCAUUGAAUGAGUAUGCCACAUCCUUUACAGCUUUAGAGCUUGAAUGAGUCAAUACUUCUGGGGUCUCUUUACCAACAAUAACCGUAUCUGCUAAUAAGAGUGAAAAUAUCUGGGUCUUUGGGUCUUUUGUCUGUGACUGCAAGUUUUGAAAACCAAGAGAAACAUUGAAAACCAUGCCCGGCCUCAAAAUUCGAUCAUUCUUGGCAUUAAGAUUAAGCCCUGACUCACGAAACUCAAGGCCAAUUCCAGUUCCGGCAGUUUUAGUCAAGUUUGCAGCCAGCUCUGGAGCCUCCUUUUCAACUACUGUGAGUGCAGCUUGGUAUGCAGCACUUAACUUAUUCCCAGAUUUUAAUUUACUAAUUGCAGCUUCUUGAGCUUUGAGAAGAACCUCAUAAGCCUUGCUCUGCGUAGAAUUUGCAUCAAUCAGAAAGGUUCGAGCAACAUUUGAGCAGUAGCUGUUGUACCGUGAUCCAACAGCACAUAUAAUCACACUAGUAGAGUCAUAACAAAGGUUCUCAUCGUUGCUUGAAGCACUGGGCUUCAGAUCAAAUUCUCCUCCACUUUGAAAAAUUGGAGGAUAACAAAUAUCUACAUUCUCUGCCUUCAGCUUCACCUUAAUUCUUGCAGGUUCCAAUAUGGCCUUUUCUGUGUCAUCCAUCAAUGACGAAUGGGAAACUUUCUUUUCCUCAUCAAUGACCUUCUCGACCUUAGGUACCACAAAACUCCUCAUCACUGAUGAAGUCAAGAAUGCAGCUUUCUUCACAUUUGUGAUCUCAAUCUGGUCUUUGACAGCAAACAAGUCUGAGAACCCAUUAGUCACAUCACUUAACUCAAAAUUAGCAUUCUUCAACUUCUCAGUCCAAGUCUCCAAAAGCUUCCCUUCAGGGGCCUCUCUUGCUAUGUGUCCAACAACAGGAGCAUCAGAGCUCGAUUGGGCAUUUACAGCUCGAAAUAUGCUAUCCAUUAGUCCAGUUCCAUCCUGACUUUUGAGUUUCACAUGCAUAACAACUUCAACACCAACAGCCUCUUUUGCAGGCUUUAUCACAACAUCAAGAAGAGAGGCCUUUUUCUGGCUACACAAAACAUGGAUCUGCUUCUUUGUGAAAACCAUAAUAGUCUCUGGGAACUCAUAACCGAGCAACCAGAUAUUCAGUGCUGAGGAUUUCAGGUACCGCAGAUCCUCAGAAGUUGGAGGAGUCGCUAUGGCGAGUGCAUCAGAUUCACCCCAUAAAUCACUAUUAUGUUCUCGCCAAUGUGAAUAUAACAGCUUUAACCGCUUGCUGAAGUUAUUGAGAUCAAUGGCAUAUGAAUUGGUGUUCCCUGUGGGGGUUCCUGAUGCCUUCCCAUUUGCAGGUUUGACAUUACCUUUUCGAUGAUCAGCCAUUGAAGAAACUUUAGACAUGGAUAGUAGGAUUUUGGAAAUUCAGCUAGUUGAGUAUGCUGAUCAGCAUAAACUGUGAGAAAUAACAAAUGUUUAUCAGUUCGUGCCAUGCUCUCCAUAUAGUGAAAAGUUGACCUGAAAACUUUGCCUGAUUUAGCUUUGUGCCGCAUAGUAUCAAAUAGUACAAAUGGUACACAACAUCAUGAGCAGGGUAAAAUUUAAAUAUUACUCACUCUACGAAACUUAGCAUCAAAAUUUAUAAUCCCGAUUGAAAUUUAAGCUCAAAGAGCAAUCAGAAAUAAUACAUCAUUUACCACCCUUUUCAUAUCUUCAAAAACUUAUAAAACUUAAGAUCUUUUCUUUGUCCUAAACAGCAGUUAAUAUUGACAUUCAAGAUUAUACUUAUGGGCAUCACCUAAAGAUAAAAAAAUUAUGCUUAGAUUUGUUUUCUAGCAACUCUCAGGAAUGAAACAGAGUAUCAGACACACAAAAACAGAGUAUCCCUAUAUGCAGCAGUCAACAAAAUCAAUAUGAAUCAACUUCUAAUCAUCAAAACCCAAUAAAUAAAAGCAUUGAAAUAAUAAUUAAAUUUCCUUGAAGCACUUACUUUACGAGAGAUCGAACAAAUUGGCAAACUGGUUUCAAACUAAUUUCUCAUUUCACGCAAAUGAAGCUCCUGAUAGUUUGAUACGUCAUACCUGACCUGGUACCAAAUAUGAAUUAACAAAAUCAUUGCCAAGUUGCUAAAGUUUUAUGCUCAAAAUUUCAGAAUCUGAAAGAACCCAACAAGAUCUGUAUGGAGAAACUGAUUGAAUUCCACAUUGACUAGCUUUCGACGCAGAAUUCAAACACAAUAAUGGGAUUGAUGAAGCUAAAGCCAGCUCUUGGGCAAUAAAUUUUCAAGCUUUGAAAGAAAAAAGCACAACCCAGUAGAAUAAAUUGAUUGAAAUUUAAACUUUACCAGCUUCUGGCGAAGAAUUCAAUGGAGCAUUUCUCUGUCAAUUUGGUCUCUGAAACUGAUUCCAAAUAGAAAAGUAAAGCUGAUUUGUGAAUAUCCGAAGGACAAAUUUGGAUCGAAAUGAGAGGUUUUAAGAGGAUCAAUCUGGUGAAGAUUAAGAAGAUUGAGAAAGAAACUAAUAAUAAUUGAGAGAUAGAAACAGAGAGACGGAUGAAGAUGGAGCUAUCAAGUAAAGGAAGCCACUUGACCUGAUUUUUACUUUCUAUUUAUAUUUUGAGCUGGACAAAAUAAUUGCCACCUCAGCAAUACUUACAAUUUUUUUUGCCAACCUCAGCAAUUUCUUACAUAGUCGUUUGCCAAAAAUAAAAGGAAAUUUUUUUUAUAAGAAAAAAGCAAUACUUAUUAUUUUUGUAUCUAUCUCUAUAUAUAAAGCAAAAGACGAAUUGUGAAACAUUUAAAAUAUCAGAAAAUGUCAUUGACUAAUGCAAAUAUUAAGAAUUGAAAUUAUUAAUUAAAUGAGGAUAAUAUGGUAAAUUCACACUUUUUCAUAUUAAAAACAUUAAAAUAAAAAUAAAAAUCAGAUAAUGGAUCCUAUUUUAUGGAACACAACUACCUAUUAUCUGUUUUAAUUCUAAAAAUAAAAUAAAAAAUAAAAAAGAAAACCAAUUGGCUCAUGUACCUAGGGGUUAAACAAUAACGCUACGGGCACCAACUUGUUUAUCAACUUUGGAUACCAACACAUGUGGCACAUGACAUGGCAACCCAUGUCAUCUGCCAUCUUAUCUAUUUUAAUACAUAAUUUGUUAUAUAAAUAAAAGAAUUUCUCACUCAAAAAAUGGGGGGUUUUUUUAUAUUUAUUUUAAAUUAUAUCUUUUUUCGGUGAGAAAUUCUUUUAUUUAUAUAACAAAUUAUGUAAUUAAAAUAGAUGAGAUGGCAGAUGACAUGGGUUGCCAUGUCAUGUGCCACAUGUAUUGGUAAACAAGUUGGUGCCCGUAGCGUUAUUGUUAGUAUAUAUAAAACAAAAGACAGAGAAUGGUGAAAUAUUCAAAAUACCAGAAAAUAUCAUUGGUUAAUUCAAACAUUAAGAAUUAAAAUUAUUAAUUAAAUAAAGAUAAUGUGGUAAAUUCAUAUUUUUUUCAUAUUAAAAAAAUUAAAUUUAAGAACCAAAUCAGAUAAUAGGUCAUACUUUUAUGGAACAUAACUACUCAUAUUAUAUUUUCUUAAUUCAAAAAAUAAAAUAAAAAAGAAAAAAGAAAACCAAUUGGCACAUGCGUAAGUAUGUGUCAAUGGGCUAGUAAAAUAUAAAGUAAAAUGCACAGAAUGGUGAAACAUUUAAAAUACCAUAAAAUGCCAUUGGUUAAUACAAACAUUAAGAAUUGAAAUUAUUAAUUAAAUGAGGAUAAUAUGGUAAAUUCACACUUUUUCAUAUUAAAAAAAAUUAAAAUUAAAAGUAAAAUCAGAUAAUAGAUCUUAUUUUUAUUUAAUACAACUAUUCAUUAUCUUUUUUAAUUCUAAAAUAAAUUAAAUUUUUAUAAAAAAAAGCCUCUCGCAGGCGUAGAAGCCCGUGUAAAGAGACUAACUUUUGCAUAUAAAAAAAAAACGAAUAAUAACUAUUUUAGAAUGCUACUAACAAUUCUCUUAAUAUAUGUAUAUUACCUUUAAAAUAAAUUAAAAAAUUCACAAUGAGUGGAUUCGAAUGUAAAACAACUUUUGUAUACUGUCUGAUCCGUAAUAUUAUUAAUUCAUUCAUAUUAUAAAAUUUACAGCUGAUAAUCUAUUUUUCGAAAACUUAUGAAAUCAGAACUUCAUUUUAUUUAGAAUUGAAAAAGUUAAAAAAAAAUAUAUUUAAAUAAAAAAAAAACAGAGAGAAAAGGAAGACUGACCCAACCCAACAACUUUCGGCCUUAAUGGUAAAGAUCCGAUUGGGCCCAGCCCAAAUUUGAAUACUAAUUUAAACGAGAAGAGGACGACGUCGUUGAGGUCGACGAAAAAUAUUAACCCAGUCACACACUCUCUCUCGUCUCUCUUUGAUUGUCAAUCUCUCUCUAGACUCUCUGUUUCUCUCUCUAGCAAAGGUAAGCUUCCUCUUCCUCUCUCUCUCUCUCUCUCUCUCUCUCUCUCUCUGUGAAUCUCGAUGUGCCUCUACGAUUAAUUCAACGCAAAUAGUCUCUCUUGUUGGUGCAUCAAUAGAAUUCACCUUUUCCUGCUGUGGGUAUUUGCAAAAUUCUGAGAUUCAACUACCAAUCCCAGUUGGGUCUCUUUCACUUUCGUAUUUCCUUUGGGUUUUACGUACGAUUUCCAUAUACUGCACAAAUUUGGCUCUAUUUUUCAUGUGCGUUCUCUUAUCCUCUUUGAUCCACAUGGAUAAUUUCUAAAAAUUUGGGGUUUGAUUAGUGCUUAUUUCGAUUGUUGAUGAUUAAGAUCUGCUACUUUGUGUAUGUAUUGCAUGUUCAAUUACGCGUCUUUUUUUUUUUUUUUUGGUAAUUUCAGCUUUUAGGAUUAUGGGAUUAUGAUUCCUAGUAUUAGAAAUCAUAAUGUUAAUAUUUUGUUGUGAGCUUAAUUGAUUACACAUUGGUUCAUGUUUGGUUUUCAUAAUUAGUUAUAGGGUAAUUACUAAUAGUAUCUCAUGAUCCAUCAUGCAUUGUUUAUGUUGUGAUCAUGUGAGGCCUUAGGGGUUAAGACUUAGAAUUGGGUGGUUACUGAUCUUUGUUAGUGGAAUCUUAAAUGAAAUGUUAAUGGUGCUUGCGCCUAGUCAAAUGUUAGAAAUGUAAGAUUAUGAAAACAAGACGACUUUCUUUCUUGGGCGCCUUUAUGAAUUUUCUGAGACUAGACUAGCUUUAGUGUUGACAUAGAGGGUCUUGAUCUAUUCUCAAAUACAUUAUUUGCUUAUUCCAUUGGUACUUCUUUGUUAUGUUUGAUGCAUGGAUCCCACUCACCAUUGUUUUGCUCUCUAUUAAAAAAAUAAAAAAUUGAAUGUCCUUCUCUUUGUGUUUAUAUGUUUCCAUAGCCCAAUGCUGUGAGUACAUUUAAUCCUACUUGGAUGGUAUUUCAAACCUCUUCUCUUGCAUGUAGUAGCAGGUAUAGGUCAUGAGAGCAUUGCUACUAUUGAAAUAGCAGGUGAUUAUAACGAAAGUUAUGGGGACUGAAAAUCCUGGUCGUCCGAAUUUUACUACAAGACCUGCCACUGCACCUUUUGCUGCUGCUCCUCAGACUAUGAUGCCUUUUUCAUCUUCAGGUCCUGUGGUUGGACAGGAGGCCUCUGGUUUUAGACCUCCUCCACAUGUCACUCAACAGACGCCAUUUUCAUCAUAUGGGCCAGUGGUUGGAUCAGAUGCCUCUACAUUUAGACCUGCUCCACCAGUUGCUCCACACACUAAUGCACCUUUCUCAUCAUCUGGGUCUGCAGUUGGACCACAAACCUCUCCUUUUAGGCCUACCCCGCCAGCUAGGUUUAAUGAUCCAUCUGUGCCUCCUCCGCCAACAUCAAGCGUCCCACCUACCGUUGGAUCUUUCUCCCGUUUCCCAACACCACAAUAUCCUUUAACAGCGCAAGCACCCCCUCCACGUGGUCCACCUGUAGGCCAACUGCCAUUUCAACCUCCUGCCGGUCAAGCACCAUUUCAACGACCGCAGCAGCAGAUACCUUCUGUGCCAAUGGGAGCUCCACCUCAAAGCAUAAAUUCUGCACCACCAAGUGUGAAUGUUUUUCAGUCUCCGUCAGAUUCGUCAUUCCCAGCUCCCCCACCAAAUGUUCAUGCAUCGUUUCCUGGAUUUGCUCAUAAGCAGUCUAGUGCAGAUCCACAAGCCCCACCCGUCCAGUCUCCAUUUCUUACUCAUCAAGGAAACUAUGCAGCUGCUCCACCAGCAGUAUCUUCCCCUUUUGCUGCUCACCAAGGAGGUUAUGCUCCACCUACUCCAGGUGCAGCUCCACUAGGUUACCAGUCAAGAGACCACAUGCAACAUCCUGGCUCCGGACCUCCCCUUGGUGCUGUCCAAACCCUGACGGAAGACUUCAGCUCACUAUCUAUUGGGUCUGUUCCCGGAACAAUUGAACCUGGACUUGACCCUAAAGCUUUGCCUAGGCCUUUGAGUGGUGAUGUGGAGCCAAAAUCACUUGCUCAGUUGUACCCCAUGAAUUGCCAUCCUAGAUUUCUACGGCUUACAACCGGUGCAAUACCAAGUUCUCAGUCGUUGUCUUCAAGGUGGCAUUUACCUUUAGGAGCGGUUGUUUGCCCACUUGCUGAACCACCUGAUGGGGUUAGUGCAUCUAUACUUAGAAUGAUCAAAAUUGCUUAAAAUUGGAUUCGCUGUAAUUAUUUUGUUUCUUGUUCUCUCCUUAGGAGGAAGUUCCAAUUGUUAAUUUCGGUUCUGCUGGGAUUAUUCGCUGUAGAAGAUGUCGGACAUAUGUGAAUCCGUAUGUAACAUUUACAGAUGCUGGAAGAAAGUGGCGUUGCAACAUCUGUGCUUUACUUAAUGAUGGUAAAUGGACUAGCUCUUCUUCUUUCCCUCAAAGAAUAAAUUGUACUUAUUUUUUGUAAACAAAUGUACCAUAUGUGGAAGGAUGAAAUGUUGACACAAUAUGCAUCUAAGAUCAACUUUUUGCAUUCCUAUGUUGGGUAACAUUAAGGAGCUGAGUUUGCCUUCCAUUUUACUCAUUGUUGUCCAUUGUACUUACCUAAAUAGGUAUUUGGGCAAUGUAUCCUGCAACAUAUGUAUGGAAUACUUCUGCUUGCUCCAAAAUAAAGUUAUUAUAUUCAUUCACCAAAACUGUUGUCCAUUCAUCAUGAUGAAUGGACAACAGCUUUGGUGUAUUUUUGUUAAAGAUGGUCUACCUGAAUGCAGGGUCAAGUUUUCUUGCUGGAUACUGCUUGUUUUUGUUUGCUAAAUUUAAUCACUGUGUUGCGCUGUUUGGUUUUUGGAAAUAACUAUCAUAAUUUGUAGUUACUUUCUUGUUCAGUUCCUGGUGAUUACUUUGCUCAUUUGGAUGCCACUGGCAGAAGAAUUGAUUUGGAUCAGCGACCUGAGCUUACACAGGGUAGCGUGGAAUUUGUUGCUCCAACUGAAUAUAUGGUGCGGCCUCCUAUGCCGCCACUGUAUUUUUUCCUCAUUGAUGUUUCCAUAUCAGCAGUCAGAAGUGGUAUGAUUGAGGUAUACACUUUUUCUAAUGCUUUUACAGACAAGCUGUUUAUUUUAUGAAAUAUUACUAAUAUACAACUAAAGAGCCUUUGGGGCUAUUGUGUCUGGUCUGGUUCAUAGAUAUCCAGUAUUGCUUGUGUCUAUUGUUCUUGGUUGCCCCUGAGAGAAUAAUGACACAUGUGGUUUGAUUGAGAUUAGGAAGAAACGACAUACUUGUUAACAAACAAUAUCAUAUAUGUUAUGUUGUCUGGUUUUAUUUUAUAAAGUAGGCUGGUUCAGAUGCCUAGCUUUGGGCGUGUUUUCUUACAUGACACAGAUAGAAUAGGGUUUGCAUGCAACUAGUACUCAACUCUUGAGUGAUUGAGUUACUGAAAUUCUCUUGUUUAUAAGUAUUCAUGUAAGGACUUUCACAGUAUGAAUCCCAAUGGCCGGUUCUGUGUCUUUCCAUUUAUUGUAUUUUAUUAUCUCUUUGAUUAAUUACUACUAAAGGCCUGUCUACCUCUCUGUUGGAAUUGUUGAAAUUUAUUGAUUACCUCUUUGCAGGUUGUGGCCCAAACUAUACGGUCAUGUUUGGAUGAGCUUCCUGGCUACCCCAGAACACAAAUUGGGUUUGCAACUUUUGACAGCACAAUACAUUUUUAUAAUAUGAAGGUAUGUGCUUUCUGUUACUGCCUGUUGUCAUAGCGUAUUAUUUCCUGUUUCAUCCAACUCCCAACGUAUGUGCUGAGUUCCUGUGGGUUUCACAUGCAGUCUUCUCUGACUCAGCCUCAAAUGAUGGUGGUCUCAGAUCUGGAUGACGUAUUUGUUCCAUUGCCAGAUGAUCUUCUUGUCAAUUUAUCUGAAUCAAGAAGUGUUGUGGAGACUUUCCUUGAUAGCUUGCCGUCCAUGUUUCAAGACAAUGUUAAUAUGGAGUCUGCUUUUGGCCCAGCUCUGAAGGCCUCACUUAUGCUUAUGGUCUGUUAGCUUUCUCACACGUGGCAUUUUGAACUUUGCCUUUGGCUAAAAGAUUCAAUCAAUUAUAGAGUAGUGUGUUAAUUUUUGUAUUUCUCGAGUAAUUUGCUAUUCAGUUACUUCUUUAUGCAUUUCUAAGAGUUUGGUUGUUCAUUUGCUCUGCAUUAACUUCUGCACGCAUGUGUGUUUAUGCAGAGCCAACUUGGGGGAAAAUUGUUAAUUUUUCAGAAUACACUGCCAUCUCUUGGUGUUGGCCGCUUGAAGUUGCGUGGAGAUGAUCUUCGUGUCUAUGGAACUGAUAAAGAGCAUCCACUGAGACUACCAGAGGAUCCUUUCUACAAGCAGAUGGCUGCAGAAUUUACCAAGUUCCAGAUAGGGGUAGAUGUAUAUGCCUUCAGUGACAAGUACACUGAUAUAGCCUCAUUAGGUACAUAAUGGUGAUUUUAUCUUAUUCUGUUUUCACUAUCAUAGAACCAAAGAUCAAGAUGAUGUUGGAAGUCGGAGGAAUAUCAGUAGAAGAUCCUGGCUUUCAUCAUAGUUAAUAUUUUUGAAGAAAGAAUCUGAAUUUGCAUAUUUGAAACUUUAUACAGCAGCUAAUGCUAGGCCCAUACCAGGGUGCGAUGCUUAUUGUGUUUAAUGUAUGCUCUCCCAUGAUCUUCUUGUGCUAUGAGAAAAAGUUCAGUCAUGAGUGCAUAGAAGUUGUAUACUAUAUAACUGCUAUUGGUCUUCCAAAUGUAGGUACUCUGGCAAAAUAUACCGGGGGUCAGGUGUAUUAUUACCCAAAUUUUCAAUCCACAAUUCAUGGAGAGAAGUUGAGACAUGAGUUAGCCAGAGACCUUACUAGGGAAACUGCCUGGGAAGCAGUCAUGCGCAUAAGAUGUGGAAAAGGUCUGCUAUUAAUGAUUCCCCAGAACAACCCCAUUUGGGCUCACAUACAUAUAUGUCUGUUGGAAAAUAUGCUAAUGUUUUGUUACUUGUUUAUACUUUUAGGAGUCCGCUUUACAUCUUAUCAUGGGAACUUUAUGCUAAGGUCCACCGACUUACUAGCACUUCCAGCUGUAGAUUGUGAUAAAGCAUUUGCGAUGCAGUUAUCUCUUGAAGAGACGUUACUAACUAUUCAGACAGUAUAUUUCCAAGUUGCUUUGCUGUAUCCUUCAGUUUUAACUAUACAUAGACAUGCCUGUAUGGUGCUUGUUUAUCUUUUGAUUGUUCACAUAUCAUGCUGUCAAUGUGAGUUGUGAACACUACUUCUGUUAUUACUAUUGGUAUCUCUUUAAAUUUCCAUUAUAAAAUCAGUCCCUUCUGAUAUUCUUCUUCUGAACCGAAGUACUUUUUUGAGGUUACAUAAUGAAGUUGUUUCAUUCAUUAUACUCGAUCUGGAUAUAUGACUGUCUAGUUUAAAUUGCUUUGGGGGGAAUUCCACAAUGGUAUUGUGAAGGUUAUCAAUUUGUGAAGUGUCUUUAACAUUUUAAAGAUACACUGCAUCCUGUGGAGAAAGGCGUAUUAGAGUACAUACAGCUGCAGCACCGGUGGUUACAGAUCUGGGAGAGAUGUACCGACAGGCUGAUACAGGUGCCAUUGUCACCUUGCUUUCCAGGCUAGGUAGGCAACUGAAACUCUAUUCUAGUGGUGUAGUAUAUAUUUUGAAUCUCGAUUUUCUCAAGUUCUUCAGAAAUAAUGUGCAGCAAUUGAAAAAACUUUGUCCCAUAAGUUGGAAGAUGCUCGGAACUCUUUGCAGCUAAGAAUUGUCAAAGCCCUCAAAGAAUUUCGAAAUCUCUAUGCUGUACAACACCGCUUGGGAGGGAAGAUGAUAUACCCAGAGUCUCUGAAGUUCUUGCCUUUGUAUGGAUUAGCACUUUGUAAAUCAGCACCUCUUCGUGGAGGGUAUGCAGACGUGUCACUUGAUGAACGUUGUGCAGCAGGCCACACAAUGAUGACUCUACCUGUUAAAAAACUGUUGAAGCUCCUAUAUCCUAGUUUGAUACGGCUCGAUGAGUAUCUUUUGAAGGUAAUAAGAUUCCAUUAACUUAAGUUGAGUGAUGUCAUUUAUCAAUCAUUAAAUUUGUUUCUUCUUGUAUUUGCAGGCAUAUGCUGAGGCUGAUGACUUUCAAAGCAUAGAGAAUAGGUUACCACUAGUUGCUGAGAGCUUAGAUUCCAGAGGCCUUUACAUAUUUGAUGAUGGGUUUCGCUAUGUUCUAUGGUUUGGUAGAGUUCUUCCACCUGAUAUAGCUAAGAAUUUACUUGGGACCGACUUUGCAGCAGAGUUAUCAAAGGUAUGACAAAUUCCCUUAAAGACAAAGUUAAAAAAGAAAGUAUUAUGAGAGGUCCAAAAGGAGGGGUGGGGUGGCAAAGAGUUUGAUCAUCUUUCACGUCCAUGUGCAAGCAUGCAUCAUUACUUUCUGCAUAGUCUUGUUUUUCAACUUUUGAUGGAUUUACUUAAAUUUAUAUAAGAGAUCUUCCAUUUUAAUUUUUUUUGGCUGCGAUCAGGUUACCCUUUGUGAGCGCGAUAAUGAAAUGUCGAAGAAGUUAAUGAGGAUACUUAAGAAAUUUAGAGAAAGUGAUGCUUCUUAUUAUCAGCUGUGCCAUCUUGUAAGACAAGGUGAGCAGCCCCGAGAAGGUCAUCUUGUACUUGCCAAUCUGGUUGAGGACCAGAUGGGGGGAACCAAUGGUUAUGUUGAUUGGAUAAUUCAAGUACACCGACAAGUCCAGCAAAAUCCGUAGUAUAGAGGUAAUGUUCUCCCGUUAAAUUUUUGUAUUUAUUUGAUGAUUGGAGGUUCGAAGAAAAUUAUCGGAACUGCUAAACGAAACUGAUUUCGAUGUUGCAGGAUAUUUAUUAAGCUAAUUGCAUGCCUCAUCUGUAAAGUAGUGGAGCCUUUGUUCAAUAUGGUGAAUAAUUUGAAUUUACCCAUGGGAUCAUCCCCUGCCCUAGAGUGGAGGCUGGUUGAGUUGAAGAAAUGGGUGGUUACCAUGCAAGAUUUUUGGACAAUUCGUUACUUCAUCGCAGGAUGCAAUCAUCAAAGGAGAUGUACUUUAGUAGUCAUAUAAUCUUUAUUUUGCCGUCUUCAUGUUGGGAAGAAACACGCAUUAAAUUUUUGUAUGUGAUAUCAUUUUCUUUACUUUGUUGUUAGCAAUUUCCCUGCGCUGUUAUAAUUCCAUAUUUUUCCCCCUCCAGUCGGAUUGUUUAGCCAGAGGACAGAGGUGGUGUGAUAAGUGCACCAUGCUUACAAAACAUGUUGGAUUUUUUUUGUUUUUGUUUUUGUUUUCCUGGUCAGAUGUUGGAUUUUGUUGAUAUAUUUAACAUUUUAAUCGUAAUACUUAAAAAGGUUAUUUCUCUUUUUCUAUCCACAAAAUUUUCUACAUGAUAUGAUAAAAAUUCAUCCGAAACCACUAUUUCAAGAAUGUUCAUGCUUCAAAUGAAAAUAUUGGUAAUAUCAUAUUUUUCCUUUUGUUUCCUCCCCAGAAAACGGAUCGUUAAAUUUAUAGUUUAUAUGCACUGAAACUUUAACCUAUAGAUUUGUAUAUAUCAUAAGAUGACUAGACUUAAUAAAAAGAUUUAAUUCCAACCUAAUUAUUUUCUAUUAUGUAUAUCUUCUUUAUUUGGCCACAGUUAGAAAAAGGAGGGGGAAAACUUCACACAUCUUGUAUCAUGCGGGUUUAAACUUACGAUCAUUUGGAAGCGCGCCAAAAAUCUAAGUCAAUUCAACUAACUCGUUGGUCUAUUAUGCACCAUCCUCCUACAAGAAUAUCAAAGCUUCGGAUGCCGAAGUUGUCUUUUGCAAGAAGUAGAGAGGAAAAAUAAGGGAGGUUUUGAUAUUUUUCCAAGAGAAUUUAUUUAUGUUAUAAUACUAUGAAACCCUAGUGUGGAUAUUGAAUAUGUAAAUUGAAAUUAUUUUGCCCUAAUAACUAUCGAGUAAUGAAUGAUGCUGAACUAUUUUUUAAAUUAAUUUUUUUAUAUAUAAGUUCGAACUUGGGGCAAAUAGAUAAGUUCAUUGUCUUGAUCAAUUGAGCCUAAUAAUAUUAGAAGUCCAGCCAUACACCAUCAAUAAAAUAAUUAAAUGUACUAUGUAGGAAAAUAAAAAUUAUAAUUUAUGAAAAUGUUUCUCUAAAUUUACCAUGAUAAAAAAGAGGUUUGGAUAGUUUUUAAUUUUUUAUCCAAAUAAUGCCCGCGGUUUGACCACUCCUGGUUUGACCAAACAGUAUGAAAAUCGCGGACUCGAGCAAUAUUAGCUAAACGAGAGUGGGAGAGAGCUUCAAAUUCCUCAGAGUUCCAAAACCUUAAACCCAAAUCUCUGAAAACCCUAAUUAGUAUCUGCAAGCCCCUUUCUCUGUGGAAUGGGAAAGGGCCAACCAGAGCAACAGCAACCACGGAUUUCAGUGAAAGACACAGUGUACAAGCUACAACUCGCUCUCCUCGAAGGCAUCAAGACCCAAGACCACCUUUACUUGGCUGGCUCUAUUAUCUCUCGCUCCGACUACAAUGACGUCGUCACAGAGCGCACCAUAGCCAACCUCUGUGGCUACCCUCUCUGCUCCAAUGCCUUGCCUUCCGACUCUUCUCGUCCCCACAAGGGUCACUAUCGCAUUUCGCUCAAGGAGCACAAGGUCUACGACCUCCACGAGACCUACAUGUAUUGCUCCUCACGCUGUGUUAUCGAAAGCAAGGCUUUUGCUCAGAGUUUGGGCGAGGAGAGGUGCGAUGUCUUGGAUUUUGGAAAGGUUGAAAGGAUCUUGAGGGCUUUUGGGGAUGUAGGUUUUGAUAAAGGUGAAGUGGGUUUCGGGGAGAUUGGGGAUUUGGGGAUUUCUAAGUUGAAGAUUGAAGAGAAGGUUGAAACGGGUAUUGGGGACUUGGGGAUUUCUAGGUUGAAGAUUGAAGAAAAGAGUGAAACACAUAUAGGGGAUUUGGGCGCCGUUGGUCCAUCUAAUGCUAUUGAAGGCUAUGUUCCACAGAAAGAGAGGAUAUCCAAGCCAUUGGGUUCCAAAAAGAACAAAGAAGGUAUGUGGGCUUGAAAUCUUUAUAUGGGGUCUGUUGUUUUUGUGAAUUUCAUCAAAUUGAAUUGUAUGUAUGUUGAAGAGUCUAAUCUAGUGCUUGCUCAGGUUGCUAGAAUUCGACUGUUUCUUGGUUGUUGUUUUCUGUUAAUGUUGUUAAAGUGAUUCAGGAAUGUUAUAUUGUAGGGUCCAAAGGUAAAGAUGCGAAGAUGAGCAGUGGGAUGGAUAUAAUUUUUAAUGAGAUGGAUUUCAUGAGUACUAUAAUCACUAGUGAUGAAUAUAGUGUGUCAAAAAUCCCGCCAAGUGUGGGGGAGCCUGAUUUUGAAACCAAGUUUAAAAAAUCAAAAGGAAAAGUUGGUCUUAACAAGAAUGAUUCUGUAAAGAAAUCCAGACAAUCAAAAGGGGGGAAAAAUAAGAAUGUCAAGAAAGAUGAUGUUUGCAUUCGAGAGGUGCCUUCGACCUCAGAUGCUUCACAAACUGUUUUGAAUGGAAGCACUAAAGAAGAAAAAGAGGAGUUCAUUGUUGAAAAGGCUGAGCAAUCAGGUGAGGCCUUGCUAAGAUCCUCUCUUAAACCUUCAGGGACAAAGAAACUUAAUCGUUCUGUUACUUGGGCUGACGAGAUGAUUGAUAGCACUGGGAGCAGAAACCUUUAUGAGGUGAGAGAGAUGGAACAGAUAAUGGAAUACUCUGAUGCAUUUAGCAGUAUGCACAAGCCUUCAGUGGAAAAUAAAGUUGGUUGCUCUAAUACCUGGUUUGAUGAGAAGAUUGAUAGCACGAAGAGUAAAAAUAUUUGCGAGGUUAGAGAAGUGCAAGAUGCUGAUGUUUUAGGGAGUUUGGACUUGCAAGAAAAUGAGAUUUUGGAAUCAGCAGAAGCCUGUGCCAUGGCAUUGAACCAGGCAGCAGAAGCUGUUGCAUCUGGAGAAUCUGAUGUCAGUGGUGCUGGUAUGUCAUUGUGUGGAAGUGUAGUUAAUAGGUAAUAAAUUACACUUGUUGAAUUUGAUAUGUAAUAGUGUUCUUUCUAUGUGUCCUUUCAAAUAUCAGUUUCGGGAGCUGGAAUUAUUAUAUUGCCACGUCCAGAUGGUUUGGAUGAAGAAGAGCCUACUGAGGAUGUUGAUAUGCUUGAAUCAGAACAAGCUCCUCUGUGGCCAAGAAAGCCUGGAAUUCCAUGUUCUGAUUUGUUUGACCCUGAGGAUUCAUGGUUUGAUGCUCCACCAGAGGGUUUCAGCGUAACCGUGAGAGUGCAUUUCUUUUUACUUCUAGAGGGGGGUGGGUUGAUUUAAUAUCAUUGUCAGGCUAUUUUUCUGAUAGUAUGCAACCUUUCAUAUAUUUCAGUUAUCACCUUUUGCAACAAUGUGGAAUUCACUCUUUACAUGGAUAACAUCUUCUACAUUAGCGUAUAUAUACGGGAGGGAUGAAAGUUUUCAUGAAGAAUUUCUCUCAGUUAAUGGGAGAGAAUAUCCUCCUAAGAUUGUCUUGGCUGGUGGUCGCUCUUCUGAAAUCAAGAAAACUCUGGACGAAUCUUUUGCUCGGGCUCUACCAGGAGUUGUUUCCGAACUCAGGCUUCCAACACCAAUAUCUAGUUUAGAGCAAGGAAUGGUAUUGAUUUUGAAUCUUUUUGUGUUUUGUUUAAAUUGUGAUGAAAUAUUAUAUGAACGGACUUUCAUUAGUUUGUCCCUUCUAGUCAAAUAUAAAAGAUGCUGAUUUGUUGUAUAGAAUUCUAGUAGCAUCCUUUUUAUAACCCACAAUUGAAAAUAUAUGUUAGUACUUAUUUACGGUGGCUCUUGAUGUGAGAUAAACCAGGGUUAUCAUACGCAUUGACAUGUGCAUAAUGAUUACCAUGUUGGUUGUUUUCACACCUGUGAUUUCAGUGUGACAUGAUUAUGAUAACUUAUUUUUAAUUUUGUAUAAACAUAAUUCAUUGUUUAGUAUCAUGAUUCUGUUAUGAACCUGUUUAAUUGAAUUAUUUAUUGUUUGGAAGCUGUCACUGAGAGGUUUCUGUACAGGGCCGCAUGUUGAAUACAAUGUCCUUUAUUGAUGCGAUACCAGCAUUCAGAAUGAAACAGUGGCAAGUGAUUGUUCUUCUUUUCCUCGAGGGUCUCUCUGUUUGUAGGAUCCCUGCACUCACUCCUCACAUGACAAAUAGAAGGAUGCUGUUUUACAAGGUGAGGCUGAACACUCUUUUCUUUCUCAUUAACUUAUUUGUUUACAAUGAGAAUAAGAUGGAGGUAAGCUGUCUUAGAUUUUCUUAUCGGCUAAAUGUAAGGAUGCAUAGACUAAUGAUAAAUUAAUAAUGAUGUUAAUGCCGAUGAUCAUGUUGUCCAGUAAUUAACAUACUAAAUUUCGGAUUUUGAAUUUUAUAUACUGGAUAGUCGGGGGCUUUUUUAAACAAAAACCUUAAGCUGUACUUGCGAUUUUGGUUUUGGCUAAAUAGGUGCUGGAGAACACCCAGAUAAGUGCAGAACAGUACGAGCUUAUGAAGGAUCUCAUAAUACCCCUUGGCCGAGCACCCCAAUUCUCAGCUCAGAGUGGUGCCUAAUGCCAAGGAACAUUGACUUCAAACGGUGUCAGCCUGCAUGCCAUAUACGAGGCCUAAAGCUGUCUUUGACGCGUGCAGCCGGAAGAAAGACUUGAAGUCUGAAGCUUUGUACAUAUCUCUUGCAGCCAGAAGAAAGACUUGGAAGUCUGAAGCUUUGUACAUGUUUUCUGAAUAUUUAAAGGAACAAAAAAUGUAUAAAACUGAGAGAUUUUCACAUACUGAAUUAUUUAAAUGUGUCAUUAUUGUUGGUCAAAUUGUUGAAGGAUUAGGAUAAGGAGUUAAUAUGACAGCACGACUUUGUGCUAGCCACAAUCUUAUUAGUCUUGAUUUGUUCAUUAAGUUUGACUAUUAGGCAUCCAAUUAGUGUCUUUGUUCAGAUUCAGACACGUUGUUGGUCUGCAAGUUGGAAAUUUUGGUUGUUAUUAUGAGUGGUUAUCAAUUCAUGAGAUCUGCUUAAGGUUAGGCCUCUUCUUUUAGCGGCAAAAGGUGUUGUGGCAUAUUCGCAUGUUGGAUUUUCACUCUGGGCGCUCCUCCUUGACAAAAAGGGCACCCUCCACAAAAAGACAGAUAUGCCCACCCAAAAAAGACAUUAUCCGGCGUUAGGUCUGUCUGAUAAAAAAUAGGGUAGAAUUUUUCUGGGAUUUGGACCUUUUAUGUUUUAUUUCUUUCUGUUAUGCCAAAAAGUAAUAUAUAUAUAUAUAUAUUUAUUUAUUUAUUUUAAGAACAAAAAGUAAUUGAUUAAUGUGAAGCAAAACCAGCUUGUGAAAAUGUGGGUGCCCUUAUGCAAAAGGUGCCAAAAUCAAUAACUUUUACAAUUUGUUACUUUCCUGCCUUUUUAAAACUGUGUGAGAGUUAGUUCAGUUAGCAAGGGUAUUGAGUUGGUUCUCUUCUAUUCAAGUUGGAGCUUCUUUUGAUAGAUUAUAUUAAUUUAAACUAUCACUGGUAUAAAAAUAAAAAUAAUAAUAAGAGAGAGUCUAAGAGCUUUUUAAUAUUUUUGUAUAAAGUAAUUACGAGUAUUUAUCCUUACAAUUGAAGUCUUGUGUUCAAUUAUUUAUCUUAUGUAUUUAAAAAAAAAACUUUAAAAAAAGAGGAAAUUUAAAAGAAAGUUUGACUGGUCAAAAAAGCAAGGCACAGGCUUCUUAUUUAUGAGAUUUUAUAUUUCUUAUUUUAAAAACUGUAUUAAUAUUUAAUGUAAAUAAAUUAUUAAUAACUUGAAAAAUAUUGAGCCAAUAAGAAAGGGUCCUUCUUUGACUGUCCCCAGCGCAUCACAGCACCACCACACAAAAAAAGCAAAAAUAAACAAAACACACAAACACACAAAUCCAAAAGAGGAAACAGACCUAGAUCCUCUCUGAUCAUGGAUCUACGCCUCUGAUUCUACAAGACGGGCUUAGUUUUUCAGAUGAUCCCGCCUUGAGCUUUGCCAAUUAUUGCUUAAUCGGUACAAUUUUCUUCCUCUGAGUAUCUUCUCCUAUAAAGCUCCUUUUUUAUCUUUCCUUUUUUGGGUUUUUUCUGUGAUAUAUUUGGUGGUUUUUGUUGGUUUCGUUUUGGGUAUUUGGAUCGGCUUGUUUUGGUAUUCAGGAUUAAGUGUCUGAACUCCCCUUUUCUCUAUUUUUUAUUAUUAUUUAUAAAUAAAUGUUUUGUUUUGUUUUUUUUUUUGGUGGUAGGGAGAGAAUGAUUAUGACUGGAUAUUCAGGUAGUUCAUUUGUGUGAAUUUUGGGUUGUAUUGUUUGGCUUUAAUUGUUGGAUCUCGGGUUUCAUGUUAAUAUGUUUAUGGGUAUGUAUAGAAGGUCAAAGACUUGCCUUUUAUUUGCUUCAUCUCAUUUGUGGGGUUCAUUUAUUGUUCUUUUUUGUGCUGUACAUAAAAUUUCCGUUGUGGCCUGUGGUUUACAAAUUUUGAUUUCUUCCUGUAUUUAUCUAUUUUCUGGUAAAUAUGAGUUUAAUUUUCAGCUAAGCUGAGUUGAUCGGCUACAAAUUUCCUGUUUUCUAUAUUUCAUAAAACUUUACGUAGCUCUUAGUAUGGAUUGUGGAUAAUGGGUAAAGAAAUGCUACUCAGAUUGUACAUAUUGCAGUUUCAUAGUCGCAAUUUUAACUGUCACUGCUUAAUUGAUUGCAGUAGGUUGAUGGUUGGUUUAAUCAGGGAAAAACAAUAAAGAGAGCAGAACAGGUUUGCAACGAAUGGCUUCAGUGGGUGUAGCACCUACUUCAGGUCUGAGAGAACCCAGUGGUCAUGCUGUUGGUGUGGAUAAGCUGCCAGAGGAGAUGAAUGACAUGAAAAUUAGGGAUGACAAAGUAUGUAAGCCAUUGGUUAAGUGUUUAUCAUAGUCUUUUCUCCUUACAGUUUAUUUUUUAUUUUUUGGAUUAUUAAUUGUCUGCUAUUGAAUAGUCAUGGUCUGCCUCACUGAUGCAGGAAAUGGAAGCCACAGUCGUUGAUGGUAACGGAACAGAGACAGGCCAUAUAAUCGUGACAACUAUUGGUGGUAGAAAUGGCCAGCCAAAGCAGGUAUAUUGUUUCUCCUGUGCACAUUAGUCUCCAGUUGAUGUAGACACUGAUAUUUUCUUUCCCCAGUUUAUUUAAUUGCAUCUCUAACGGAGUGUUGUAUCUUUUGUAAUAUUAGACAAUUAGUUACAUGGCUGAGCGUGUUGUCGGGCAUGGAUCAUUUGGAGUUGUGUUCCAAGUAAGAUUCUAGUCUUUUGCUUUAUAAUUCACUGUUGAAAAUGUACGGCCCUUCAAAUCAGUAGCAGUUUUCCUGUUAUUGAAUUCUAAUUUUUUAUGUGUACAGGCAAAGUGCUUAGAGACUGGUGAAACUGUGGCCAUAAAGAAGGUUCUGCAAGACAAGAGGUACAAGAACCGGGAGCUGCAAACUAUGCGUCUUCUUGACCACCCAAAUGUUGUUUCUUUGAAGCAUUGCUUCUUUUCAACGACUGAAAAGGAUGAACUUUAUCUUAACCUGGUACUUGAGUAUGUUCCUGAAACGGUUCAUCGUGUAAUUAAACACUAUAACAAGUUGAACCAACGGAUGCCUCUGAUAUAUGUUAAACUCUACACAUACCAGGUAUGAUGUCAAUGAAAGAAUUUCAUGUGUGCCUUUUCUUUUUUCCUUUGUGUAAGUUGCACUUGAAGAAUAUGGUGAUGUUUUCUAUGUUUCAACAUUUUUUCCUUUUUAGAAUACAAUUUUACAUCAAUUGAGCAGUUUGUUGUAUACUUUAAAUAUAGGUUAAGAAUUCAACUGUUAGACUAAGGUCUUACUCCAUGAGUCCAAGGCUUAGGCUAAUUGAGUCUUAGAAUUGUGUCUCAAAGCAUGUUGUUUGUUCCCUGCCCUUGAGGGUUUAUGUUUUUGUUAGCUGAGAUUUGCCUCAUAUCAUCCAUAUUUGGCAGAUCUUUAGGGCGUUAUCCUACAUUCACCGCUGCAUUGGAGUGUGUCAUCGGGACAUUAAGCCUCAAAAUCUUCUGGUAUGUACUUUGAUUCUCUUAUCCCUAUAUGCCUAUUAAUAUGUAGUUAACCAUAUGGUUGUGUGCAGCACUGCCUUCCUCUGUGUGUGUGUGUGUGUGUGUGUGUGUGUGUGUGUGGAGGGAUGGGAGUGGUUAUGAAGUAAAUAAAACAGCAAAGGUUUGAAAUUUGGUUCAUAUUUUUUGCAGGUGAAUCCGCAUACCCACCAAGUAAAAUUGUGUGACUUUGGAAGUGCCAAAGUUUUGGUAUGCUUUGUUUUGUUGUUGUCCUUGUCUUCCAAUUGUACUCAUAUUGGCUUUUGCUUCAUUGGCGUAUAUUCUUGUACUGUAUUAUUAUUGAGCAGGUAAAAGGAGAGCCAAAUAUAUCUUAUAUCUGCUCUAGAUACUACAGAGCACCAGAACUCAUAUUUGGAGCAACUGAGUAUACUACAGCUAUUGAUGUCUGGUCUGUUGGAUGUGUUCUUGCUGAGCUAUUGCUUGGACAGGUACAUGCUUUGCUCAAUUGCAUUUUCUGAAAUAUAUGUUUUGUACAAUUCUAAUAGAAAGGAAUUUUCUAUUGCAUCAGCCUCUGUUUCCCGGUGAGAGUGGAGUUGACCAGCUUGUGGAGAUUAUCAAGGUAAGUUUAACAUCUUUAUCAGUUCAGUACAAGUUACAUAUUUAAUCUUAGGUAUCAAUGAAUAGGGAUAAAAGGAUUGUUUAGAUGCUUGUGUUGGACAUGCAUUACUCUCUGUACUUGGUGAAAAUAUGGCAUCUUGAACUUUGAUCUUUUAUCGUGUGGUGAUUCACUUCUUGCGUUUUCUCUUUGUAGGUUUUGGGCACUCCAACAAGGGAGGAAAUCAAAUGCAUGAAUCCUAACUAUACGGAGUUCAAGUUCCCUCAAAUCAAAGCUCACCCGUGGCACAAGGUAUUAUGAAGGAAGAUAUUAAUGUAUCAUUUUAUAUUUCUUAAACCAGACAGCAUAUUUAUAUCUGUUAUUUCCUUAGAUAUUCCACAAGCGUAUGCCUCCAGAAGCUGUUGAUCUGGUUUCAAGACUGCUGCAAUACUCUCCGAACUUGCGGUGCACAGCUGUGAGUACAGGAGUUUUUUAAUGUCCACAUUGUUCAUUCUUUCCAUUUUUUUUUUCUUUUUACAAAACUCCAUUAAGAAAAUUUCAUUAUGUGCUAGUAAUAGAAAAUUCAUUUAAUUUUUUAUAUUCCCAUUAUCUUCAUUUUGUUAAUUUUUCAACCAUGUUUCUAUUUCUAACGCAGCUGGAUGCCUUGACCCACCCCUUUUUUGAUGAGCUUCGUGACCUGAACACCCGCCUGCCGAAUGGACGUUUCCUUCCACCUUUAUUUAACUUUAAAUCUCACGGUAUGAUGCUGUUCUGAGAGACAAUUUCUUUUUUCUUCCUCUAAGCUUUGUAUCAAAGUUCUUACUCUUGGUCUAUCAAUCAGAAUUAAAGGGGGUGCCUGUGGAGAUUUUGAUGAAAUUGAUCCCAGAGCAUGCGAGAAAGCAAGUCCCUUUCUUGGCAUCUGAUUAGUUUGUGAGAUGUGAGAAACCUCAAGUGUGGUCCCAUAUGGAAGCUAUGUGUUCUCCUGGCCUGCUAUUUGUCUCCAUUAUAUUUAAUGUACCUCAAUGUAUGACCUUGUUUUGUAAUAGCAGAUUUAGAUGUAUUCUAUUGAAUCUUGUAUUGUCCAAACCUCAAUGGGUAUUAUGAUUGCCUUAUCCCUGUAUCCCCAGAUUGUAACAUCACAUAGAAGACAAACAGCAGCAUUUAUCUAAAUGUUUAUCUGUAUUUGUAUUUCUAGAAGACAGACCAAUGUUCUCUGGUUUCGUAUUUCCAAUGUAAUCUAGUUGUUUGGCAGAUAGUUUAUUGAAGGCUACUUUCCUCUCAUUGUAGUAGGAAAAAAGCAAUUCCCAUAGAUUCUAAGUUGAAAUCAUUUGUGUCAACCUCAGCCUAUGCAAUUUUUAGACAAUUCUGUCAAAGUGAUGGAUAUCUCUCAACAAUAAACCUUCCAAUCCAAGUAUUGGUUUUCUUGAUUCCAUCAAAGUGAUGAGCCGGAAUUUGCGUCAAGAUGGCUUAUGUAGUCAUCCAAGUGGGUAAUGCCAACGAAGCUUUUACAUCACGGAAGGAAAAUCAACUUCCCCCUCCUUUAAUAUCGCUUGUGAAAAAAAAAUGUACAAAUUUAACUGAACUUUUUUGUUUUUUUCUGUUUCUAGGUCACCAAUUAAACUCCAAAAAACAAAGAAAGAUUCAAUGUUUCAUAUUAAUUUUUUGUUUUUUAUCUCUACCAUUGAAAGCAAGCAGGAUUUCUUCUAAGAGAAAAAAAAAAAAAAAAAAAAGUGAAUCCACUUAUCACCGUAAACAGUUAAAACUGAAGAACUCUGUGGACCAAAAAGAAAAUUUUUCUGUCAGCCGGAAGGCCCAAAACCUAUAAAUAGUUAGAAACCUCGAAUUCGAUAAAAAGAGAGAGAGAGUUGCAAUGCCGUUGGGGAAGUAUUACUGCGAAUACUGCGACAAGGAAUUCCAAGACACCCCAUCCGCCAGGCGACGCCAUCUUCAAGGUCUCCAACACCUCAGAGCCAAAGCUCAAUGGUACGACUCCUUCAAAGGUAUAUAAAUACAACCAUUAUCUUCUGCUUUUGAGCUUUUCUUUAAGUCAUUUUCCUUUGCUUUCUCAGCUACCAAGCAUCCCUCUAUGCAUUUCUAUGUAUAAUCACAACUCUGUUUGCCGUUGAUUGCAGAUCCCAGUCAUGCUUAUACGGAGGGCUUGACAAAAGGGGUUUGCAACCGCUUUGUAAAAACGGUAUCGCUUUCUCCUUAUCGCAUUUUCAUUGAUUACCCACGUGAUUUCACUACUACUACUAUAAUGGGUUGGAUCCAGAUUUUGAUUUUUCCUUUAAUCAACCCAAUUAAUUUGGUCAGGUGUUGACUCUGUUGAAUAAUGUGUUGGAGGCAGAGUUUGCUUUGAUAGUAUACUUGGUUUUGAAUUGAUUUUGGCUUUGGAUUUAUAUGUUUUGGUUUCUUGUUUAUUGUCAAUUUCUUUUUCUUUGGCAUGGAUUGUAGGGAUUUUGCCCAUACGGGGAUUCUUGUAGAUAUCUUCAUCCCAAGAACAAUCAGCAGAAUAUGGUUACUCAAGGGGCACCAGGUAAAGAUACCUGAAAUUGAAAACAAUGCCCCUUGUGUUUUUUUUCUUCUUAAUGUGAGGGAGAAGGAAUUAAAUAUGUUUUCAGUAUCUAAUUCAAGAGUUGGAAUGUGUUGACAGGUUUGAUUGAUAAUAAUCAGUCUUCAACUUUUCAAGAGAACCAGUUGGUGGGGGGCAGCUCUUUGCCAGGUAACUUGAAAUGAUAUGCUGCUUUAGACUUGAGACAGUUGGUAGGUGACCAUUGCUGUCUUAGUUUUUGUUUUUAACAGAAUUUAUUUCUUCCUUUUGAUUCACAGAUGUGGUGGUCAGAGAUAGCAUGGGAAUGUCAUGGGGCAAUCUACCUCCAUCUCUAAUGCCUCCUCCAGAGGGUGGAUAUCCGCCGCUUCCUUUUGUGGACUGGGGAUAAGUCCUCUAUGUCUUUCGGACGCCAUUUAUCUAGCGCUUGUGCUACCGAUACAGAUCCUUAUCUAGUUCCUGAUUUCUUUCUUUUGAUCUAGUUGACAUGUAACAUGUUACUAGUAAAGUUGUAUGAUGAGAUAUGGAUUGUCAUCAAGGCUUGUAGGCUUGUAGCUUGUGGUUUAUAGUAUUGACUAAAACAUUUCCUUCAUAUAAUUCUUCUACUAAAGAGAAUGUGUUGUGUCUUGUGCUAUAAAGUUCAUUUUUUCACUCACAUGGAUGGCAAGCUGCUUGUUUUGUCUGAAUUGUCCAACUGUUUAUGCUCUAAACUUUUGGAAUGCCAAAUAAUAUUUAGAGAAUGCUAAACCCUAAACCCUAAACUCUCUCCUUUUCUCAUCCUGCUAUUUGUUGUGCUUGUAGUGUUUGCCAUAUUUUUGUUUCAAAAUAAACACUACGGUUCCACAAAACACAUUACUCGUGUACAUGUUUUUUAAACCAUGUUCAUCAAUUCCUGCCCAAAUUAUAGAGAUCCAUUGCCUUCCCUUAUAAUCUGGCCAAAAUGUGAUAUUGUUGAAAAGGUAAUGCGUAUUUGUGUAGAUGUAACUACACAAUUUUAGAAAACUCAAGAAACUACAAACUAGAAGAUGAAAUGUCGGCAACACAAAAAAAAAAGAAAAAAGUAAAGAAUAUUCUAGAUGAAGCCACACACUUGUGGCCGGAGAAAACAACAAGGCGGUAGAACAUGAUGGCUAAACAAUAGCUACAAAAAUAAUAUUGUACAAUAUAGAAGUUUCUAGUAAGGGCACUUCCAGCCUUUUGCCUGGGCAGGACAGGGUUUAUCCCACAAGAAGGCUCCAACGCACAAAGGCAAGCCUGGACAAGGCUUGGGGCCCACUAAUCUGGGCAAGCCCUCAGGCACAGUCAGCCAAUGUUGUUGCAUGGGCAAUUGAUGUAAUGCUGCCGUCGGCAAUCAAUUUAAAUAACAAAAAAUUGAAGGAAAAAAAGAAGGGAAAAAAAAUCAUUUAUUUAUUUUAUUUUAUUAUAAAUAACUAACUAUAUUCUUUACUUCUCAUACCAAAACUCUAUAUAAAUUCAUCUCUUUAUAUCUCAUGUGAAUAGUGGUUGCCUUUAAGUUGCCAUGACAAUGGGUGGAAACACAACAAGCCUUUAACAAAGGAUGCCACUAUUCAUGUGAAUAGUAACAGCCUUACCUCCAAUUACCCUUUGUCAUGACAAAUGGGUGGAAGUGCUCUAAAAGCCACCACAAAAGGGACUAGAAAAAGAAGCUAGUCGGUGGACUUGUUGCUGUUGGCAAAGAUGCCUAUAAAUAGGCAUGCAACCCACAAUGGGAUGUGGAGUCAACAAAAAGAACUCCCAAACGAUGUAAGGGUCAACUAAUACAAGUCCCAAUCUAUGUGGGAACAAGCUACCCAAAUCUAAGCUAGUAAGCUAGCAACCUAAACUAGCUAGCUAGCUAUCUAGCUAAUCAACUAAAGGUGGUGGGAGUUAAUCACUACAACACCCAACCCAAUCCACGAGGGAGCUACAUAAGCUACCCAACCUAUGGAAGAAGCUUGAAGACGAGAGGUCAAGCUAGUGCCAAAUAGCCCAAACUAAUCUAAAUCAAGUGUGGUUGCCAAUAAGCCAAUAAGUUAAGAAGGAGGCCAAUCACCCUACAUCAAGCUUUGUACUAUUCUCCUCCAAUGUAAUAAAAUCACUUUGUUAAACUAUUGUCCCAUUUUUCUAAACCCCUUCACCCAAUAAUCUAACAAGUGGUAUCAGAGUGUCACUAAAUCCCUUCACACAUAAACCAACAAUGAUAUCACAAACACUCAUAACAACACCACCUAAAUUCCAACAGAUAUCUUCCUUAGAAUUCAAAUUUCAUCAUCCAAACGCAACAAAUGCACGUCUCAGUUGCUCUCCCAUUCCACGAAUAUGAAAUUUAAUUUAGACAUUGUUUGCUAAAGAUUCAUUCAACAUUCAAUAUUGCAAGAAGGGAUUAUAGUUUCGUACACCAAAAUAGGUAUAUAACAUUUUGUUUCCUUGGAAGUUGAAACCAAGAAAGAAAAAACUCUAGGGAAUUAAGAAGAGAAGAGCUUUGUCUUCAUGUAGCACCUAAUCUUGUUUUGAAGAACACGAGAAGAAAUGAAGGAGGUUGUUACACUUGGAAGUUGGAACUUGAAGGUUGAAUUUGGGAUGGGAGUGAGAUGUGGCCGGCCCACAAUAUAUGGACGCGCCAAAGAAUAUGCCAUAAAAUGCAAGUGCAAAUAAUGAAUUAUGAAAGUUAACCUAGGAUUUGUUUGGUAAUGCUUAUACCAAACAAUACAAGAAAGGCACAGUUGAGGUGAGAAUGAAACUAAUGCCUAAUUCUGUGCCAAGAGAGAAGCCAUAACUUCAGAAAGUGAAGCAGAAAAUGGAGAGACAUAAGCCAUGAAUCUUGGGACUGAAUCACUAAAUGGACGCUGUUUGACAAAUGACUUUUAAAAUCCAAUCCGAAAAAUAAUUUUAAACAAAGCAGAAAAAUAAAAUAAUUCAGGUGUUAUGAAUAGAUAUACGUAUAAUAACACGAGUAAUCCCAUAUGGUGGUGCGACGGUCAUACCAAAGAGUUUCUCGUUAUUUACGGGUCAUUAUCUACUCCUAUAUUGAAUUGAUAUGAAACAAGUGUAGUUGAAUUGAUAUGCUGGACCCUUGAGAAUACUUUCCUAUUUUCCCUUUAAAACCCCAAAGCAAAUUCCCUCUUUGACUAAGCCGCAUGUUACUUCCUUUUGAGAAUAGGUCUUAGUUUUUCUAAUAUUCCUAUUUUUCCUUUCCUUCCUAAAUAAAUAUUAUCUUCCUUAUUUUUGGAGGAGUCCCUUGGCCUAUAAAUACAAAGCGUUAACCUAAUAGCCAGGGCAUCUUUUUCCACCAUCGUCUUCUCUACCAUAUUUUUCCACCAACUUUCAUUCAACCAGAGAAAUAUCAGAGGAAGCCAAGAAUUUGCUGCUGCAUUAUUUGAGGAGCUUUUGAAGGUGUUCCUGUGAAGAUUCUGAAGAUCAAGUCCAUCGGCCAAAUUGGUUUUAUGACAAUAAUUCUCUUGUUUAUAUUUUCUUCUGUCAUGAACUAAUUUCCCUUGCUAGGGCUACGAUGUAGCCUAACCUUGAAUACUUAAUUUCUAUCGUUAUAUUAAUUUCUGAUUAUUAUCUCAUGUUGAGUAUUUGUUACUGUUCUUAAUGAUUUAAAUAUCUAGCUAAUAUUUAAUUGAUGAUCCAAGCGGAGACCGAGAGGAGAUGUUUGGUGUUUGCUUCUUGUAACAAAUACCAUGACUUGAAUGAGUGCCCGAGAGGGACUAACAUGACUCAUGCAAUUUUCUUGUAGGUUCUCAUAGAACUUAAUGGGUUCUUGGUUUUCUAAAUCCGUUGCUCGAGAGAGAAUGGGUUGUUAAUUGAGAAUACUUUUGGUUGAGCCCGAGAUGGGAUAUCGAAUGAAUUAGGAGAAACCAACUGUCAACAUGGAUAGUAAUUAGGGUUAAUUGGCUAUAAGAAUUAAGUAGAAUUGGUUAUGGUGAAGUCGGAUGCUCUAGUGUCUCAUCAUCUUAAUUUUCUAUUGUUAAUUAAAUUGUUAUUUUUCAUAAUUGUUUUAGUUUUCUUAAAAUUAAUCAAUCUUCUUAAUCAACUGUUCAAAUAAACUUAUGCAUUAAUCAUAAUUAGUAGUUAAUAGGAAAUUACAGUCUUCGUGGGAACGAUACUCUACUUAUUUCUAUAUUACUUGUAUGGAUUGUGCGCUUGCAAUAAUUUCACAACAAAAGGCAACUCAAAAGCCUGUGUUACAAACAUCACAGUGAGUGACUCAACCAUCAAGAAUUCAGACAACGGCGUUCGGAUCAAAACUUGGCAAGGCGGCUCCGGCAGUGUAUCUGAAGUAACCUUCAAGGACAUCCACAUGGACAUAGUUCUAAAUCCUAUUAUCAUAGACCAGUUUUACUGCCUCAGCAAAAAAUGCCCUAACCAAACUUCAGCACUAAUGAUAAAUAGUGUUCGCUUCUCAAACAUUAAGGGCACAUAUGACAGUCGAAAGCCUCCUAUGCAUCUUGCUUGCAGCGACUCAAUGCCAUGCAAAAAUCUCACCCUUUUGGGCACAGACUUGGUUCCUGCUCAGGGAGGGGCUUAUUUGGAUCCAUUCUGCUGGAAAGCUUUUGGCCCUAAGGACACAUUUUCCACUCGACAAGUCCCAUGCUUGAUGAAGGGUUACCCCAAAAUGUUGCAACAUGAUUUUGACAGAUCAUGUUUUUAGAAUUUGGGUUACUCGAAAAAUAGUGUCUCCAAUAAAAUCAUUUGGACCACAUCUUUAACAGAAGCGUAGAGGCAGAAUAUCCCACCUUUAUUAGUGAUGUGGUCAUCAACAGUGAUUCGUGUAACAUUACUGGUUUAUCUUCCAACCAUUUUCAGUAACUUUGAAAGUGGUUCAUGUACUCGGUAACUUUAAGAUGUGUCUCUAAUGAGAAAAGUGGUCUUUGGUCUUCUAAUUACUUUGAUUUGCCGGCCCAUUUCAGAACUCAUUGCAAAUCUCCAAGAAUUUCUUAUUGGAUGAUAUUAUUAUACGACGUCUUUAUUUAGUUUUGUGAAAAUAUAAAUUAUACAUUAAUUAUUUAUGAUGACAAAAUUAUGCCUAUUAGCAUCACUUGUUUGUGAGCACAGAAUUUUGGUUUUGUCCUUACCCUUUUUGUUCUUUUCUUUCUUAGCUGCCUUGUAAAUUCUGUGAUUCUUUCAUGAAGUCUUAGCCUAUAACAUAAACAAUUGCAGCCGCGCGGUUAUACUCUAUAAAAACCAUAAUCAGAAUUUCUCUUUUUUAAUUACUUUAAUUAUUGUUUACUUAGUGAAUAAUUAGUAUUUAAGAAUUUUAUUAAAUUUAAAUUUUUUAAAAACUAGAUACUAUUUAUUAAGUAAUAUCAUUUAUGAUGUUAAUUAAAAUAUUUAAUACUAAUUAUUCACUAGAGAAAUAAUAGUUAGAACAUAAUUACUAACUAGCCUCUCUGCACGCGCUUCAGCGCGUGCGAGAGGUUUUUUUAAAAAAAAUUUAAAUUUAUUUUAGAAUUAAAAAAGAUAAUGGAUAUUUGUGUUCCAUAAAAAUAGGACCCAUUAUUUGAAUUUUCUUUUAAUUUUAAUUUUUUUAAUACGAAAAAUUGUGAAUUUACCAUAUUAUCCUCAUUUAAUUAAUAAUUUCAAUUCUUAAUGUUUGCAUUAACCAAGGGCAUUUUCUGGUAUUUUGAAUGUUUCACCAUUCUUUGCCUUUUGCUUUAUAUAUAUAGAUGAAAGGAAUUAAAUCAAGGCUAAGAUAUAAUUUAAUUACUGAAAAGAUUUUUUUUAUUUUAAAUUAUUGACCUAAAGAUACUAAUCGCUAGACGGUCUUUUUUUCCCACGUGGCGCCUAAUCGCUAGACGGUCUUUUUUUUAUUAAAAAAAAAUCGUAUAGCCGAACGGCUAUACUCCGUGUUUUAAAUUUUUUUUAAAAAAAUAGACUUGUGUUGAAACGUGGCGCCUAAUCGCUUGGGGGUCCUCUUUUUUAUAUUAAAAAAUGGUAUAGUCAUUCGGCUAUACUCAGUCUUUUUAUUUUUAUUUUUUAAAACGUAUAGCCGCUUGGCUAUACUAUUUUACACGUGGGCACCUAGGCGCUGUGCGUUUGCUCUGUUUUUAUUUUAAAAGAAUAGUAUAGCCGGUCGGCUUUACUCCUUUUUUUAAAAAAAAUUUAUUUAUAAAUUGUCUUUAAUAAAUAGUAUAGACGUAAUACAUUCGUGUUCUAUACACGUCUCACGUUUUUUAAGAAGCAAACGUACAAUAGUUGUAUUAUACAUAUACGUACGCAUUUCUAACUUUUAAUACACUUAUUUUUUAAGACACACAAAAUUCACGUAUUAUACAAAUAAUUCUCACAUAUUAUUGAAUAAGAAUAACAUAUGUUAUAAAAAAUAUAUUGAAAUAUUAUAUAGUGGAAUAUUAAUAUCUACUUUGGAUAUGUUGAAACUAGCAAAUUAUUUUUUAAAUUAUUUUUCAUUAAAUAGUAUAGCCGUUCGGCUAUACCUUGAUACCACUAUUUCUUUAAAAUAGUAUAGCCGGGCGGCCAUACUUAUUUUGCCUAAUCGCGAGAGGAUCUUGUAAAAAAAAACUAGUACAGCCGCAGGGCUAUACUCUGUGUUUUCAAUUUCUUAAAAAAAUAGACUUGUGUUGACACGUGGCGCCUAAUCGCCGGGGGGUCCUCUUUUUUUUAUAUAUUAAAAAAUGUAUAGCCGUGCGGCUAUGCACAUUUGGAAACUGUUAAAUCCGAGCUAGACUGCAGUUUAUUUUCAUUACCUGUUUAAUUAUACAAUUUAAGUAAUUGCACAUUUGCUGUCAAACAGACAGAACCUGGCUUCUACCUAUUAAAAAGGUUACUCAAGAACAGUAAAAAAUUGAAGGAGCUUUUCCUAUAAAUAGGCAAAUCUUAUGUUUUGGUUCUAUUCAAAAUCAAGCUUAAGCUAAAAGAUAUGAAAGUCUCUCAGAUAUUUGUUCCCCUCUUCAUUGUCUUGUCAGUUCUUAUAAUUCUUGCCAUUCAAAAUACAGUUCAUGCAGCUAAUGUACACUUUCACAAGCUACCUAGAAAAUCAGAAUCACCCCCACAUUCAUCAAAAAUCACCCCCAUCACAUUCAUCAAAGUCGGAAUCACAUAAAUCAAAAUCAAAAUCAGCAUCACAUAAUUCAUCAAAAUCAGCACCACAUUCACUUCCACCUGGUGUGGUUGCUUGUGAUGCCAAGGUCUUCAGCGCACGGGGCGUUUGGUGCCGCAGGGGACAGUGUCACUGAUGACGCACAAGCAUUCAGUAAGGCUUGGGAUGCCGCUUGCCAGAUCGGAAGAUCCUCUGUAGUUUUUCUUGUUCCUGAUAAAUAUUCCUUCCUUACACAAAGUAGCCUAUUCAAAGGGCCUUGUAAAUCUUACCUACUGUUUCAGGUAAUUAUGUGACAUUAUGUAUGUUACUAAUUAAAAAGAAGAAAUUUUUUUUGCAUAGAUAUAUAAAACUGAUGGAAUUCUUGUCUGAAACGUGAAGCUUGAUGGGAGGAUUGUGGCUCCUAGUGGACCCAAUAAAUGGUCAUCAAGAAAUAGUAAAUCAGAUUGGAUGGACUUCUAUGGAAUCCAUGGCAUGACAAUGCAAGGAGGUGGGCUUAUAGAUGGAAGAGGAGAAAAAUGGUGGAAUCUCCCCUGUACUUCAGUAAGGUAGCUUUUUCUAUACUAAUUAAUAAAACGGCAGAAAGGAAGUGGCUGUGAUCAUACCCCCAACGUAAGGCAUAAUCACAACUCGAAAUUCGAUUUUUGAAGAAAAUGAAAGGCGAUUGCACCGCGUGCAUUUGAAUGAAGAAACUGUUGUAAUGUUCCGUUUUGUACUUUUUCAUAAUGCAGGCCCUAAGAUUUUUGAAAAGCUCUAACUUGAAAGUUCAAGGGAUCGGUGUUCAAAGCAGCCCCAAGUUCCAUGUCUGCUUUGAUGAUUGUCAAAAUGUCCGAUUAGAGUUCAUCAGCAUAAACUCACUGGGUGAUAGCCCGAAGACCGAUGGAAUUCACAUAGAGGAUUCCAACAAUGUGGAAAUACACCAUUCAAGAAUUUCACCUGGUAAAUAAUUCUACAAGAUCUUAUUAAUUCUUCAUUAAUUAAGUACCAGUAAGCAAAGCUGAUUAGUUCUCAACAAAUGAACUAUGCAGGGGAUAAUUAAUUACCUAAACCCCCUAAUGCAGGUGAUAGUAGUCAUGAUGUGGACAUAACGAAUGUAACUUGUGGUCCAAGUCAUGGAAUAAGUUCCUCUUAAUUUAGUUAGGCUUCUAUUCCAGUAAUUAAAAGAUUAAUUAAGAUUUAAGACCAAAACUUAGUGACUCAUAUGAUUAUUCUCUUCUUGGUUUGCAGCAUUGGUAGUUUGGGAAGAGACGAAUCUGAAGCCUGUGUGAAGAACAUCACAGUGAGACUCAGUGAUCAAGCAAUCUGAUAAUGGCCUUAGGAUCAAAACAUGGCAUAGUGGAUCAGGAGCUGUGGCCAAAAAUAACCUUCAACAACAUAGAAAUGGACAAAGUCAAAAACCCAAUUAUCACCAACCAAUACUAUUGCCUCAAAGACCACUACCCCAAUCAAACUGCUGCCCUCAAGAUAUAUGAUGUUUCACAUGCACAGCACAUACAAUGUGAAAAACCCACCUGUGCAUCUUAAUGCAGUGACUCAGUUCCAUGUACAAACAUCACACUUUCUCAGGUUCAACUGCACCCAGCAGCGCUGCUCAGGGAGAUGGUGAGUUGAAUUUGGAACCCCCAUUUUGCUGGAAGGCUUACGGGAUCAUCGAAACACGUGUCACGAGGCCACUGAGGUCCUGUUUGAUGGGUGAACUUCCUAAAAAUAAUUUGUUCUUCAACAGGAUUCUAAUAAGCGGUGUUGAAGAUGCUGUCACGGUUAAUUUGGUCAUAGGUCUGGACGAAAUCUGAUCCUGCAAUGUGCUAAAGUGUUCAUUGCAAGGGAGUUGUACUUAGGAAAAUGAAUGUUAUAGAACAAACCUUUUCCUUUUUUGAUUAUUAGGAAAACAAAAACUUUUCCAAACUGAAGUUAUCCAAAUUAUGGGCGGUAUCAGUUGAAAAUCUGAACAACCCCCUUCUCACUUUCAUGAAUAUAUGGUUAAUUGGAUUCUUCAAAAUUUUACUUUUUACUUUUUACCUAGAUAGCAACAAGAUAAAAACUGUAGAACACCUUGAGAGGCCAUGCAGUUGACUGGAGAACAGAUGGUAAAUAACUAAUAAGGCCCUUUGGAAUUAAAAAAAAAAAAAAAAACUUAUUGUUCAAUUCGUCCAAUCAGUUUUCUGUCCCCAUUGGCCAUGCUUAGGCUGGUCAACUUUCUUAGAAUAAUAGACGGGCUGAUUUACAUAAUUUAUAAAUCAUGUGGGCCUUGGGUGGGUUGCCAUAGCCUGCUAGCACUGCAAGCAAAUCAAAAUUCUUGGCGUUUCUGCGAAGCUCUGGACCUGUUCUUUUACUUAUUUCAUUGCUGCUUUUUUAUACUUAAAGAUGUGCCUCAUUCACCUCAACAUUUUGAGGACUGAAAUUGUCUGAACCAAGUGACCCUAAUUCAGACAUUCAAGAGAGAAUGUCGACAUAAAGAAGUGUCUGCUUCAAGAAGAUAAAAGGACCUCACCAGCAGCCAGAAGCUACUAUUGGUUUGGUGGGUCAGUGGAUUGAGUUUCUUCAAAGCAUGAAGUUUGCUUUUUGUUGACCUCAUAAUAAUCCCAAAAGAAAUAUGAUUUCAUUUCUGUCUUUUUCUGUCUUCUUCAAGACUUUCAAUCCCAUCAUCUAUAAUGCUUGGCUGCAAGCUAUACGUAUGUAGGGAAAACCUUCCAAAAAUGGCUAAUAUCAUUGCUUUUCUUUUUUCAGGCCUUUGCAUCAUGCUAUACAACUUCUUUUUUAUUUUAUUUUUAUUUUUUACAAGCAAUUUUAUGGAGGGGGAAUUAAAUCUAGAAUCUCGGGUGUAGAGGCUAUUGGUUAUUACAAACAAAACCAAAAUGGGAGUUUUUGAUACAAGCAAUAUUGGGGAGGAGAAAAUCAAACCUAGGACCUCGGGUGAAGGACAAUUACAACUCCCUUGUCAUGACUCAUGCUAGCUAUACAACUUCCAGUUUCACAACAAACUGCCAUUUUUCUGAUGAAAUGGGUGAAUAUAAUCAUGGAAAAACCAAAAUGGGAUUCAUUUAAAGAUCCCAAAGCAACAACUUUUCCUGUCCAAAAUGGGUGCACAUAAUCAUUCAAAUGGUAAACCACUCAAAAAUCUCUUUAAUCCACCAACCUUUUCUUUUCUUCUCUUGGCCGGCUAUAGCUCCUCGCAUGCAGACCCUUCUUCACAUUGUGCCCAAAAAGCCAAAGCAAGCUCUCUCUAAAUGGAACUGGUCGGUCUCACAACAUGCAUUAUUGAAUGGUGUUAGGCGUGGACUGACCUUCAAAAGUAGCUUCCCACUAAAACUUUCGAAGUAUGAAAAUGACGUACUUAUUUCUAAGUAUGAAAUGGACGUACUUACACUCACUCUGCUGCAGCAAUAGCCUCUUAUCCCAAAGAUUGUAGACUUGUAGCGUUAUCUCUUGCAAGUUGUUUGGUGCUCAAAGUGGUCACGUACUGUAUAAAUCUUAACUCUUAUGGUGCAUUCAACUUCCUAUCGUGGGUGCCUUGCUUCUACAGUUCUAUUUUGACCCUACAAUGCCUAGCUGAUGACACUGACAAUUUGCCUGUCAAAAUCCUUGUUGCCAGUUGCACUCUUUGAAAUCCAACAGCAUGAAUUUGGCUAUAAACUCUAGGACAAUAGAAGCACUUUAUUUCUAUAAGUAGCUAAAAGUUCUUUCAUUCCAUUUGCUCCACAUGCACCUAAGUGAAAGCAAAUGCUGAACAUGAUAUUUGCUUGGGUACUUGUUAUUCAAAUUUUUUUCUUCUCUUUUUGUUUCUUCUUUCCUCCGAUACACGGCAGCCUUCAAAGUACUGACACUAAACAUGAUAAGGGUUUGCAUCUGAUGUCUCGAAUUUCAUUGCCACCUUCUCCGGCACCAGAGGCUGUUAGCCCAAGCUACAAUCCUACCACUAUUUUCAAUGUAAGAUCUUAUGGUGCCAUUGGGGAUGGUGUUACUGAUGACACACAAGCAUUCAAGCUGGCUUGGGACACGGCUUGUCAAACUGAAGAUUCAGAAGUUCUUGUUCCUAAAGGUCAUACCUUUAUGAUACAGUCUACAAUAUUCACAGGGCCAUGUAAACCUGGCCUCAAAAUGCAGGUAAUUAAUCUAGGUCUCCUCUUAAAGGCUGGAACUUUAUUUAAAUUUGUUGGAAUUUUAGGAUGUGUGAUGAGUGUUUAUGAUACCAUUGUUGGUUUAUGUGUGAAGGGGUUUAGAACAAUGGGACAAUAGUUAAACAAAGUGAUUUUAUUACAUUGGAGGAGAAUAGUACAUAGCUUGGUGUAGGCUAAUUGGCCUCCUUCUUAGCUUAUUGGCUUAUUGGCCACCACACUUGAUUGAGACUAGUUUGGGCUAUUUGGCCCCAGCUUGAGCUCUUGUCUUCAAGCUUCUUCCAUAGGUUGGGUAUCUCACAUGUAGCUCCCUCGUGGAUUGGGAGUCGUACACACCACCUUUAGUUGAUUAGCUAGAUAGCUAGCUUUGUUGCUUAGUUUCCUAGCUUUUCUAGCUUAGGAUUUUAGGCAGCUCUUGGCUCCCUAAUAGAUUGGGAGUUCUUUUUGUUAGACUCCACCUUGUUUCAUUGCAUUGCAUGCCUAUUUAUAGGCAUUCUUUGCCGACAUCACCACGUCCACCAACUUGGCUUCUUUUUCCUCCGGCCACAAGUGUGUGGCUUAUACUAGAAACUUAUAUAUUGUACGAUAUUUAUUUUUGUGGCUAUUGUUUAGCCAUCAUGCUCCACCGCCAGAGUCUAGCAACAUGAGUAUUCUUGAGUUUUCUAGAAUUGUGUAGUUACAUCUACACAAAUAUGCAUUGCUUUUUCAACAAAAUUCUUUGAGAGACAAAGAUAAAUUUGGUAACUUUUUUGUCUUACCGAAAUCUAACGUGUUCGUUGACUGGUUGAUGGGGAAGAUUGAUGGGACACUAAUGCCACCAGAUGGACCUGAUUCAUGGCCAAGAAAUAACAGCAAGAGACAAUGGCUUGUUUUCUACAGAAUCAAUGAAAUGUCAAUGCAAGGUACUGGUGUAAUAGAUGGGAGAGGAGAGAAAUGGUGGAACCUUCCUUGCAAGCCGCACAAAGUAAGCAUCUUUGUUAUUCUUUCACAGCACCAUUGGUUUUAUUUUAUUACUCUUAGGCCAAUUUCUCACAAUGUUCUUUUAUAUAUAUGCAAUGGAACAGGGUUUUACUGGAACAACACAGCCUGGUCCUUGUGAUAGCCCAGUUGUAAGUCACAGUAAAAAAAUUUCAGAACUUGUGAAGUAAGCAUUGGUCAACUUUGGUGGAAAUAUUGUUUACAUAUGAACUUUAUGUUGCAGGCCAUAAGAUUUUUCAUGAGCUCUAAUCUGAGUGUGAUAGGACUCAAAGUUAAGAACAGCCCCCAGUUUCAUUUCCGGUUCGAUAACUGUCAAAACGUCUACAUAGAAUCACUUAACAUAAAAACACCUGCUCUAAGUCCCAAUACAGAUGGAAUUCACAUAGAGAACACAAACAAUGUGAAACUAUAUAAUUCAGUCAUCUCCAAUGGUAAUUACUAAUUACACAACAGAAGCUUCCAAUUUGUUGUCCAUCGUGCAAUCUCUCAAAUGCUUACCUUGCUCUUUGGUUAUUGACACUUCAUGUAGGUGAUGACUGCGUAUCAAUUGGAGCAGGUUGUUAUAAUGUGGAGAUUAGGAAUAUUACUUGUGGUCCAAGUCAUGGAAUAAGGUACAUCCACUGCUUCAAAGCACAUAUGGAUGGUUUCUAAAGUUCCAUUAUUCUCCAAGAUUCACUCAACCCAAAUCCUCUUUCUUCCCAUGUAGCAUUGGAAGUCUUGGAAUUCGCAAUUCUCGAGCAUGUGUUUCGAACAUUACAGUUAAGGACUCAAUCAUCAAGCACUCUGACAAUGGGGUUCGAAUCAAAACUUGGCAAGGUGGAUCAGGGUCUGUGUCAAGAGUAACAUUCCAAAACAUUCACAUGGACACCGUUCGAAACCCGAUUUUGUUAGAUCAGUACUAUUGCCUCACCAAGAAAUGCCCUAACCAAACCUCUGCAGUUCACAUAUCAGAUAUUUUGUACUCAAAGAUAAAAGGUACAUAUGAUGUGAGAAGCCCACCUAUGCAUUUUGCUUGCAGCGACUCCAUGCCAUGCACAAAUCUCACUCUCUCUGAAGUGGAACUGCUUCCUGCCCAAGGAAAAUUUGUGUCAAAUCCAAUUUGCUGGAGUGCAUAUGGAACAGUGCAGACCCUUACAAUUCCACCAGUUUUCUGCUUGUUGGGGGGCACUCCAGAAAUGUUGCCACAGAAUGGUAAGGAAAGGUGUUAACCAAUCAAAAGUAAACUGAGAUACAUAUCAAAGAAAUAUAGCUAUUCUAAACGAAAUUACAAGUAAUUAAGAAGUCCAAGAGUCUGUUAUAUAUGGUAUAUGGUGUAGUAGAAUGCUUUAUUUUUAUGUUUUGUUCUUAAUAUCCAAGAGCUUGUAGAUAAGCUAGAAAUUUGGUUUGUACUUAAAUCUAGUGCCUUUUCAAUCUCGUUUAAAUCCAAGUUGUGUUCAGUAAUCAAAUUAGUAAACAUCAAAAUUAUAUUCACAUAAUGUGGAGUUUACUUCUAACACAGCUGGCGUUUCAUUACGGCUUCGUAACUUAGCAAUUGUUGCUUGUUUUUCAUAUAUUGUAGUGUUGGGUUGAAUUGGUGCAAUCAAGUUUGUUGUGGCUUUUACAUGAGUUAUCUAAUUGCUCAUAGUAUUUUAGGGGAAGUAAAACAAACGUCUACCCCAAAAACACAGAGAAAAAUACAUUCUCAGUGAAAAUGUGACAGCAAAACCUGUUGCAACGGUGUUUCGUGGGUUUUAGUAGCGAAAGAGACCGUCUUUAAGCGCUGCAAAAGAAUGUAUUAUUCGCAGUUUGAAAGACCGCCGUUAAAAGUCGGCAGAAUAUUGAACGCUUCUCCUUGUGCAGAAAUUAUGUAGUUUUGAGAUGCGCAAAAAUAAAAAAAUUAUUAUGCUAGAAAUAACAAAAUUAUGUAGCCUUCACAGAACAUACCCUGCAUAAUGCAUACGAGAUCAUAAUUCGGAAACAAAAUUAUUAUACUAUAAAUAACAACCAGAGCGUAUUAAUGAAAGAGCAACAGAAUCAUGACAACCAAAUAAUUUAGAGGCCAAAAGCAUAACUCUCGACGAUUCAUCAUUCAUCAGAAGACACUGUGUCUGAAUUUCCCCUCUUGGGACAAAAUAAAACAAUAAGCUAGAAUUAUAUGAAUAAAAUUUGGAUAUUAGGAGUUGCAAUCCUAUUUUGCCAAUGUUACGAAGCGAAGCAAUGGAUGUGAAUGCCAAAAGAAAAGGGUGAGUCAUACAAACUAUCACUAAUAAACAUAGCAGUAGAGCAGAAAAAGGUACAUGCACAAUUACAAAAGAACUUUGUGGUCAUAAUUCAUGUCUGCAUAUGCCUGCCUGGGGGUGGGUAGGCAACAGCCUCCACUAGUUUAUAGUGAACCAUUGGACUUAUGGUGAAACUGGGUUGAAAAGGAAUUCAGCAAGAAAAUAAAAUGACAAAACCAAAAGUUGAAAGUUUACUUUCUUACAUAGGAUUUUAUAAAUUUCGAGGCCGUCCAUAUUGUUACAUACCCAAAAAAUUGAGCUUUACUCAUUAGUGAUGAAUGUUACUCAUUACAAAAUUCUUAAGUCAUUCGUUGAAAUUUUGACAAGUUACAUGAAGAGAGACGGACUUUCAAAAACUUUUAAGUCAUUUCUUAAAUUUUUGAGAAAUCAAACAAAGAGAAAGACAUACUUAAACAAUAUAUACUACCGGAAUAUGCAAGUUUUUUCUCUGCUCAGUGAUGUUUUUAGAUUGGUCCAUCUAAUGGGGGACCAUAGAGCACCAUUAUAACAUCUAGCAUAAUAGGUCAUACAGGACCACAUCACAUAUAUCUCUCGACAGAGAAAGCACUGACUUUUGGCAAUUCUAGAUGCAACCUCAGAGUGCCAAGUAAUUGCCAUACCCAUUACUAUGAAAAUAGUAGCGGUUUGUUAGUCAUUCAUUGUGCAUCAUACCUUAUCUCCACAGAGGAAAGUUUUUCUCCCACUCUUAUGAACUCAAGCAAUUGUUCUGCUCUCUUUUGACUUUCUUGCUCUGUUUUGGAUCCUCCCCUGUUUUUUGUAUAUGGCAAAUCUACUCAUUUGAUUUCUGUUUCUUCACCUUAUGUACUUUUUUCUUUUCUUUUAAUCCAAUAAUAUCACAUUGAAGGAGAUGCACAUAACACAAGUAUUAGCAAGCUCCAUGAGCAAACUGGGAUGUCAUUCACAUACUGGAUUGAAAAAUUUCGGCAAGUUACCGGAACCUGCUGGAAAACACUUAUGGAAAAAUACAUCACAAUUAAGAAUGUUCUUUCAAUACAGUUUCGCUUUGAUUACACUUCCUGAUUAUUCAAGCAUUUCCAUUUAUGAAGCGUUGAUCCACCUUAAUAAACGUGGCAACUUCAUACUAGCUUUUCGAUCAAGCUCUUUGGCAUACAGAUAUGGUUGGAUGAUGAUGGACUGCUAAUUUAAUGAAGUGAGCACCUCUAACAAGGAAGCAGCAAAUUGCAUUUGUGUGUCCUCAUCUAUGGUCAAGAACAGAGGCACAUGAACAAAGAGCGAUUUGAUCCCGUUUUGCUCUGCAAACCGAAGGGAAUGGUAGUAGACAUAGUUGCAUACAAAGCGGCCUGCAUCGUCUGAGGUCAUCACCUCAAAACCCUUCUUUGCCAAGGCCUUUGUUAUGUCCUCAACAGGAAGAGAAGUCUGCACAUAAUCAGAAGAAGAAAUAGUUCCAAGAUUGAGGAAAAUGAGGAACCAUUGUAGUCACAUACUCAAAUACAAAAUAGGACCUCUGAAUCAACCGUCAUGCAACCAUCAUGGAGGAAAGAAAUUUAAGGUAUAAAGUCAACCUAUUUUUCAAGACAACUUCAGUCCUUCAAGCAGGUAUUCUUCAAGUAAUCAUAAAAAAAUUUAAUGAUUUAUGAGGUGCAAGAGAAAGUACUUGAAAUCUUUAGGAGGCAUAUAAUGAAAAAUCAUGGCCACCCAGCCUACCUCUCGUAUAUGUGAAAUUCCACCAUCUGAAGGAAUAAUGGGGACUUUCUGCAAAACAUAUGAUAAAAGUUAACAAAAUCUGAAGAACUUCGAAGCUGAUGUCAAAUAAAAUCCCAAUUAACCAGAGACAACCCCUGCAAGUUCUAUCUAACCUGAGGCUUCCAUCCCAUCUCAUCAGGGCAACGAAAAGUAGCUUCAUUGACAGCUUGAUGCUCAAUAGCAAACCUUGUUGCACCACUAUUAACACCAAAGUGUACCUACAUAAUUACGGUUAAAAUUAAGAAAGGGUAAGACACAUGACACAUGAAUACAUCUGCGCAAGUACAACAAUCGUAGCGAUGAAAUGCUCUUGAACAGAUGUGAUGGAUAGUUCUGUUAUUUAUUAAAGUUCUAGUAAAAUCUUUAAUACAUGUGCACAAGCUUUUUCUCUAUAGAUGAUGUUGAUAAUGACUAUUUUCUAAAGUUUUAUGUGAAAAAAUUUCUUUCACAUAAUAGAAAAACCAGAUGGGAAAGAACCAAUCAUCAAAUCAAAUUCCUAUAAAUUCUUUGAGCUGUAUCCAGUUCCUAUAUGAACAAAUCAAAAGAACAUUGUUUAAAAGGAGAAAUGAUAAAUGAAUUUGAGUCCCAAGUUUUGAACCCAAACCAUGCUGAUAUUCUUAGAUAUGUAGGGGUCUUUAAAGUCUACUAGCUAGUUAUAUAUGCUUAGCAGACUAGCUUCUAAGGACAGAAAGAAAGGAACUUGAAAUAAAGUGUGAUCCAGCUUAGAAAAUGAGAAGCAAUGGACCAGACAUGAGAACAACUCACCCAAAUAAUUCUACUGGAAUUUGAAGAAUCCUGCUCGCUGAUAGCAGAUCGCAAUGUCUGGUAUAGGGGAACAACUGCUCCUUGUCCUGCAGUCUCAAGAAUGCUGCAACUUCCAAGAACCAGACCCUUUGGUGAACCCUUCUUCUUCACAUACUCUUUGAGAUUACUGACAAUAGUCUCAGUUGGAUUCUCUGAAACUCCAUGGAAUUUCUUAAAACCAGUCACAUGAAUUGUUACUGUUGAAGGUCCUUCAGACCCCAUUUAUGAGCUAUUAAUAUCUAAUUGAGGAAUGUGUUAAAGCAUCAAAUCGGAAGUAAUAUCUAAGUACCUGCAUCAAACUACCGGAAAUGAGUGAAAAAAAUGCAGAGGCAUAAACACAAGUACAUACAGAGUAAAGAAGUCUACGUCUACAAUCAGCAACCUGUCUAGGUUUAGCUCCUGCUGAGUUUACACCACUGAAAGUUUUUAUCUAUGAAACUCAUUGGUUACUUUAAAAUCCGAAAGCUGAUUCUUAACAGAUUCAUUAUAUCAAUGCUCUUCCUUUAAAUCAUGCUCGUAGCAUAGUAGUAGUUAAUACCAUAAUAUAACAGCUAAACAAUUAUAUGAAUGGAUACUGUUGAAACAGUUAAACUAUAAACAAUUAGCAACUGUCUGUCUAGCAAUUACAAUUUUAAUACUUGAUGAACCGAUCAAGUUCAGUCAGACCAAUCAAAGGACUGAAGCCCAUUUGUUUUCAUUUCUUUUAGAUAAGCAUCUUUAUGGAUGAGACUGCAUACACCAAUUUUUAUUCGAAAAACCAUAUCAAAUGCAAAAUUGAGAAAUCCCCAUGGCCAGAAACUCAGAGUCAGCAGUCACCACCAACAAGAGAAAAUGGCUCUGUAUGAAGGCAGACACUAAACUAACUGACAAACAAUAAAUUUUGUUAAUUGGAUAUAAAUUGAAAACUCAAUAUCCUGCAGUGCAUGAAGAUCAAAUAAAAGUGGAUAUCAGAUUGUACUAGACCCUCCAAAAAUUUAGCUCCCAAGACAAACCACACAGAUGAAACACUGGAUUUAAACAAAGCCAUCCGAACCCAAAAAAGUAAAACCAAAACGCGAAUUGGAAUCAGACUGAUGAGGCAUCCAGAUGAUGAUAUAAGUCAAAGACCCAGAAAUCUACCUUGAAAAACAAAGCCUUGGAAUUAAAACAUGCAAGAUUCUGAAAAUUAUAUCAAAAGAAAAAAGAAGAGCCUUUCUUGCCUGUAAUCUUCACAAGCCUCAACCACCAGUCUUAUCUGCUCAAGAUGAUUUAUUUACAACUGGUAAAGAUUCCAAGUGGAUUGAUUAUAAGAGAGAGAGAGAGAGG